GAGCGGGUCAAUGCUAUUGCUUCAAGGAAGGGUUGUACUCCAUCACAGCUAGCGUUGGCCUGGGUCCAUCACCAAGGCAAUGAUGUUUGCCCCAUACCUGGCACUACCAAGAUUGAGAACCUCGAUCAGAAUAUAGGAGCUUUGUGUGUAAAACUGUCUGCAGAGGAAAUGGCAGAACUUGAAUCUAUUGCUUCAUCUAUCAAGGGUGAGAGAUAUGCGUCUGACGCUGGCACUUGGAAAACUUCUGAAACUCCACCUUUGUCAACCUGGAAGUGCACAUGAAGAAGAGCAAGUUCACUUUGAUAUUAAGUGGACUUACUGUUCUGGUUUUGGCUUGGAAGAGCACAUGAAGUGCAAGUUUGGUUUGGUACUUCGUUGGAAGACCACAAAGUGCACAAGUUUGGUUUGAUACUUUGUGGACUUUUGUUUUAGUUUAGCUUUUCUUGUGGAAUAAUCAUCAGGUACAACAUGUUAUGUCCUGAGUUCCGGAGCAAUCAUGAGGUAGAACAGUAUUAUGUCCUGGUUUCUGAAUGUAAUAAAAUCCUAGCGCGUAGAGUUGGCACAAAUUAACUUUUGUGCAAAAUUGCUUAUUAGGUUUCGGCUGUGCAGCUAUUUGAACUUAUCGGGGAUGAUUUCACCAUAGAGAUGUAAUGCAGUUGUAUUUUGAACCUAUAAUUUAAUUUGACGUUUGUAUGUUGAUUUCCUAUUUUCUACUUUUAUUAUGAUACUUGCUGUUUGAGAGAGGUCAUUUCAGUCGGGCUUCGCUGAGCCGAGCUCCCCCUUCUCUGAAUAAAACUCUGUUAAUCCUCACCUUGGCCUCCUUGUACCGAGACGAGGAUCACACACCUAAGGUUGAACCACCCGUUCCUAUUACUCCGGCUACCGCGGUCACCACCCUAAAGUUUCAUUGUGUCUGAUGGAACGGGCGAAGUCAGGUCAACACCUACACGGACAGGACGUCUAAUAAGACAUGUCCUCAACACCGACCUGUCAAGAUAGAUUGACAUGCUCAGUCUUUUAGAUUCUAGGAAGUUGAAUCCUACUGUCAUUCCCUUCCAAUUGUCUCCUAUAAAUACAGAGAUUUCACUCAAAAAAGCACACGAAAAAAAAAUACACUCUGUAAGAACUACUCUAACGAAAAAUUUCACUACUUUCCAUUCCAAAAAGAAGACUAACUACAUCGUUGGAGGAAAAUUGGGGGAUUCAGCCCCAUCUCUAAUAAUUUGAGCAUGUGACUUCCGCAAGACAGUACCCACUUCAGGAGGUCACUCCCGCACUUUGAUACAACUUGUCAACUCCAAAAAUUAUCUCUUCAAUUGGCACCGUCUAUGGAAACCGCAAAGACAUCCAAGAAUGAAACCUACGCGUUCUAGGAGCAGGAAGGUUCUCACCAUUGAGGCUGAGCCAAGUGCUGCAGCCCAACCGGAAAAUGUUUCCGAAGAACAGGAGUCUCAUGAGGCUCGACCCACGAAUGGAGAAGCCAUGGCCCGAAUGGCAAAGUUUGUGGCUGAGAAUCCUAAUAUUUUCAAAGAGUUAAGAAGAUAUUUCAAGAGACAAGGUAAACAAAAAGCCGAAUUUUCUAAGAGAAAGCCAGAUGAAUCUUCCGAGGUCCCAUUCGAGGAAGAAUCGGAUGGAAGACAUUCUAACAGGAGCACCCCGAACGGGCCUCAUCCAAGGUUAUUUCGAGAAUUGCCUCCAUUUCUAGGGCAAUCUUACGGGGUUUCCUGGGGAAACAAGUCGAAGACGAACCUCGCGAUCGAAAAGGUUGGAGGUGGAUUACAUGAGAGCUCCGCCUUUCACGGAUAGCAUUAAUGAAGAGAGGGUCCCCCCCCCAAACUUUAAACUCCCAACGUUGCUACCUUAUGAUGGCCGAGGUGAUCCUGAGAAUCAUCUCCAUGCUUUUAUCUCAGCUUUUCGAUUAUCUGGUGUCUCUGACUCAGUUAUUUGUCGAAUUUUUCCGGUCUUUCUUCAAGAGACUGCUCGAAAAUGGUUCUGCGGUCUAGAAUCUAGGAGCAUAUUCUCCCUAGGAGAGCUGAUGAAUAAAUUUAUCCAUCGGUUUAUAUCUUCCAGGCCAACGACAAAGACCUCGGCCUAUCUGCUAAAUAUACAGCAGAAUUCGGGGCAGUCUCUCCGUUCUUAUAUACAAAGAUUUCAAGAUAAGAGCGUGCAGAUACCUGAUCCUAACAAAAAGGUAAUCAUAGCCGCCUUUACAAAUGGGUUUAUUGUCGAAGAGUUGAACACCGAAGUGCACAAAAAAUACCUUCGAACACUUCGGGAAUUGUGGCAAAAGGUCGAGAAAGGCAUACAGUCUGAGGACUUGAACCGCAUAAAUAGAGAAGCCCAAAUAGCUUGAUCAGGGCCUGAUUCCCGAAAGAAGAAGGAAUCAAGUCGAGGUGACCCUGGCACUACUGGCGGUUUUCAGAGUCUCAACCAAGAUCGCUGAAGCGUCUUUGACCGAAUUGCCAAGGGAAAGUCGUUUGUCCCUGAUUCCGACCUAACACCCUUAAAUACCAACCGAUCUUAUAUCCUUGCUCUCAUGGAGCAGAAUCACCUCGGACGUGCUCCCCCAAGAAUGGCCGGAAAAAGAGAAAAGAGAAACUCCAACCUCUAUUGUGCUUAUCAUCGAGGUAUUGGACACGAAACCGAGGAUUGUAGCGAUUUGAAGAAAGACAUUGAGAAUUUAAUAAAGCAAGGGUAUCUGAAACAAUUUGUUCGCAGAGAUGGAGACCACAACAGAAGUGACUCCCGCCGCGACAACCGAGGUGAGCAACGCCUGGAGGAUAGGCAGAGACCACGUAGCAGUUGCCGAUCCCUGAGGAUCCUAGGAAGACGAGAAGGCCUCUCCAAGGUGGGUCCUCCGAUUAUGGGCCGAACAUAGUCGGGAUUAUCAACACCAUAGCUAGAGGUCCUAUGGAAAGGGAUAGUUAAAACUCCUGAAAAAGAAUCUAUAAACAGGCUAAUCCAGAACAGGUCGAGAGCAGCUCCCGUCUUACUGAGACAAUCACGUAUGGCCCAAGUGACCCCGUCCCAACUGCUUCCAGUAGUCACGAGGCCUUGGUGAUAGAGUUGCUCACCAACAAUUAUAUAGUGAAGAAAGUGUAUGUCGACCCCAGCAGUUCGAUAGAUGUCAUGUAUUACCGAACCUUCAAAAUCUUGAUAUUAACCAGGGAUCAGCUCAUAUCUGUAAAGACCCCUUUAGUAGGGUUCAGGAGACACGUGGUCCACCCGCAAGGGAUAGUUACGUUUAUGGUGACCAUUGGGUGCCACCCUUAAUGCCGAACCAUUUCUGUCAAUUUUGUCGUAGUCAAAGCUAAUUCCCCAUAUAAUUUACUUAUGGGUCGACCCACCUUGAAUGCGCUACAGGCUGCGUAUUCAACCUAUCACUUAAGCUUUAAAUUUUCAACUCUCACAGGCAUCGUCGAGGUAAGCAGCGAUGUCUGUGUAGCAAGAGAAUGCUAUUUUGCUACCCUGCAGGCCGCCUUUUCUUCAACGGCCGAACCGAAAAUUGAGGAUAGGAGGUCUAAUAUUCUCUCGAUAGAUUGUAUAGAUCCUCAACAGUCCGGGAAGCCUAAAAAGCUAGAGACCAAAGAUGAGGUAGAAAAAAUUCCUCUGAAUCCUUUGAACCCGGAUCAAACCAUUCGCGUUGGCACCAGCCUAUCUGAGCCUCUCAAAGGCGAGCUAACCUUCUCAAAGAAUACCAGAACGUCUUCGCCUGGAUUGCCGAACAAGUUGUGGGGGUACCCCAUCAACUUAUGCUGUAUGAACUGAACGUCGACCCGCGUGCACGACCAGUUAAGCAAAAGAGGAGGCACUUCGGCCCGGAACGCAAUAAAAUCGUAGCCGAGGAGACGAACAAGCUCUUACCGGCGCGGAUGAUUAAAGAGGUGCAAUGUUCCAUCUGGCUGUCCAACCCUGUUAUGGUCAAGAAGGAUACCGGGGGUAGAGGAUGUGCUUAGAUUUUACUGAUUUGAACAAGGCCUGCCCUAAGAAUUGCUACCUACUGUCGAGAAUUGACGCUUUGGUCAACUGGAUAUUGGGUUACGAGAUCCUCUACUUCCUUGAUGCCUUUAAAGACUAUCAUCAGAUGAGAAUGAAUGAAGAGUACCAAGAGAAAACAGCCUUCUUCACAGAUCAGGAAAUCUACUGUUACACCACCAUGCCCUUCGGCUUGAAGAACACUCGGGCGACGUAUCAGCGACUGGUUAACCGGAUUUUUAAAUUUCAAAUAGGUAGGAAUGUUGAAGCGUAUGUGGACGAUAUCCUCCUGAAAAGCAAGGAGACCUCGGCUUUCUUAUCCGACGUGAGGGAGGUCCUUAGGAUCCUCCGCAACACUCGAAUGAUGUUCAAUCCCAAGAAGUGCGUGUUUGGCGCGAUUUCGAGAAAUUCUUGGGAUACCUUGCAUCACGCCGAGGUAUAGAAACUAAUCCUGAUAAAGUGAAGGCCAUUCAAAAAAUGUCUUCACCUCGAAAUUUCCGAGAUGUACAAAGACUAACAGGUUGGCUGGCAGCUCUGAACCGGUUCUUGUCCCUGUUUGCUGUCAAGGCACUGCCCUUCUUCAAAGUAUUGAAGAAGACUGACAAGUUCUCUUAGACCGAGAAGUGCCAGUAGGCCUUUGAGCAAAUGAAGGAGCACCUGCACCACCUUCCCACUCUUAAUUCACCACGCCCAGGAGAGAGUUAUAUCUUUACCUGUCUGCUGCUGAGGAGGCUGUGAGCACGGUGCUAAUACAAGAUAAUAGUGCCCAAGUGCCGGUUUACUAUGUUAGCUGAGUUCUCCGCGGGCCGAAGACUCAAUACAUCCGUGUAGAGAAACUCAUAUUAGGUUUGGUUCAUGUAGCUCACAGGUUAAAACCUAAUUUCUUAACUCACCCCAUACGUUUGAGAACAGAUCAGCCCAUUAGGCAGAUCCUGUCGCGUCCCGAGACUUUCGGACGACUCACCAAGUGGGCCAUAGAGCGAGGGGAAUACGAUCUAACCUAUGAACCUCGGACUGCCAUCAAGGCUCUGGCUCUGGCAGAUUUCUUGGCCGAACUCACAUUUCCCGUGAGCCAAGAAGCCACUCUGGAUGACGCCGAAUCGCAAAAGUGGACCUUGUACGUGAACGAGUCAUCUAACAGUGAUGGUAGUGGAGAUAGACUGCUCCUCGAAGACCCUCACGGGGAGGCAUGCUCAUAUGCCAUCUAAUUCGAUUUCACCGCCUCUAACAAUGAAGCUGAGUACGAGACUGUCAUCGCGGACUUACAAUUAGUUCGCAGACUUGGUGCUCAACGUAUUUUAGUCUAUAGCGACUCACAACUCGUCAUAUGUCAAGUACUAGGGGAGUAUGAAACUAGAGAGGAAACCAUGCAAUGGUAUCUCUCCAAAAUCCACCAGUUAGCGGCCUACUUCAAAUCCUUUGAAAUCCAAAGGAUACCUCGGUUCUAGAAUAGGCGAGCAGAUGCCCUAUCCAGGUUGGCCCCCACCUUGUUAUCUGCGCUCAACCAGACUGUUCUCGUGGAGGUCUUAACCGAACCGGAUUACCUAGAGGAUAAGGUCUACCCUAUAAGUUCAGAAGACACCUGGAUGAGUCCUCUAAUCAGAUUCUUAGGUCAGGGUGUCCUUCCGGACGAUAAGGCAGAAACGAGAACAAUUCAGUGCAAAGUGGUCCGAUAUGCACUUCGCGACGGCAACCUGUACAAACGAUCCUAUCUCGACCCAUGGGUGCGGUGUGUUACCGUAGAGCAAGGGCAAAAUGCCUUCCAGGAUAUACAUGAAGGACUGUGUGACGCUCACGUCGACUAUCGGAUGUUGGUUAAGAAGACUUUGUUCCUUGGAUAUUUCUAGCCAACCAUUCGGUGAGAUGCCCAAUUUAGUCCUUUGCUGUCCCUCCUGCCAGCACCAUGCCUAGGAGCACCACCAGCCAACUAGUCUCAUGGUCCCCAUCACAUCAUUAUGGCCUUUUGAGCAAUGAGGGACAGAUAUUAUUGGACGCUUCUCGAGCCGUCGACAAUUAUGCUUAUGUGGUGGCCGCUGUUGAUUAUUUCACGAAAUGGGUUGUGGCCUGACCAUCCAGAAAUUCUUUUGGAAGUGUGUAGUUUGUCGCUUUGGUUUGCCUCGGAUAAUCAUCUCUGACAACGGGAAGCAGUUUGCGGAUAACCCUUUCAAGGCAUGGUACGAAAAUCUUGGGAUCAAACAACACUUUACCUCGGUGGGUCACCUCCAAGCCAACGGUUGGGUCGAGAAUUUUAAUCGAACACUUCUCCACAACCUCAAAACUAGGCUACAUCAGCUCGGAUCUUUUUGGGUGGACGAACUCCUGAGCAUGCUGUGGUCUUACCGAACCACGCCAAGAUCCGCUAUUUAGGAAACUCCAUUUUCCUUAACCUAUGGGUCCGAGGCAGUGGUUCCUGCCGAAUUUCCCACUCCAAGUUCUCGAAUGGUGGCUUUCACUGUCGUGGCUAAUGAAGAAGAGCGAAAAAUGAAUCUCGACCUCGCUAAGGAGAAGCGAGAUGCCGCAGCAGCUCGAGUUGCCUUGUACAAGAAUAUACUGACUAGCUACUAUAAUGUCCGUGUUAGACAUCUUCGGUUCAGCCCAAGAGACCUUGUCCUGCGAAAGAACUUAGUCAGCCAAUCUGAAUCCUAAGGCAAGUUGUCUUCGAGGUGAGAGGAGCCGUAUCGCAUAAUUGAGGUUAGUCAGAAUGGGUAUUGUAAGUUGACUUACCGAGAUGGUACUUUAGUAUCCAGAACUUGGCAUGCUGAGAAUUUCAAAUUGUAUUAUCCAUAAAUCAUUUACAUUCCACUCAAGAUUACUUGUAGUAUGUCUUUUGUUUAUUUAAUUACUUUUCUAGCAUCACUAUCUCGUGUUGUUAAAGAAAAUAAGGGGACAAGACAAGUAGAAAUGGAAUAAGUGACUGACAAUGAAGUAAAACAAGUCAUUGAUAUUAAAGGAGGUAGUUACAAAAAUUGUGAAGUACAAAAUGCCGAGACCAAAGGCUCUUCUAAGAGCCCCUGCCUCGGCUGAGCCCUCACCCUCCCCCGCACUAGCCUCUUCUUCAGCAACCUUGUCGGGCCCAUCACCCUCAGGUGUCAGCUCGAACUCUGCCAUUUCACAAUUGAGCUCCUCUCGGACCUCAGUUAGGUUUUUCUCCGCCUGGAUGCCCUCAGCCAUGCGAUCGCAAAGCUCUUUAGCAUCAUCAUUGUAGCUGGCCUUGUCUUUGAAGAAGUCCAUCUAUUCUAAGGUGAGAAAGGGGGCUACGUCUUGGAUAGCCGAUGUAUAACCAAACAUGAAACUCAGCAGAGUCAACUCGCCGAACUCAUGAGUGAAGGCCUUGGAAGAGCGAACGGCCUCUACUACCGAGCUGCCAGCCUUCUUAAUGGCCUCCCUUGAAGACUGCUCCUCUUCAAGUCAUCGCUUCUUCUCCUUUUCUAAAGCAGUCUUCAAGGAGUUCAUGGUGGUCUCGGACUGCUCCAUCUCGGCCACCACGGUAUCACGCUGCUUGAGGAAUUGGGCCUUUUUUUCCUCAGCCAACUUCAGUUUCUUCUCCAGGAGGGAGAUCUUAUCCAGGAGCUCGGCUGAGAGCUAAUUUUCGACCAUGUUGAUGUGUCUUUGCAUCAACUCGGAGAGAAAGGCCGAGGUAGAGGCCCACACCACUGAAGUGCUUUGCAUCAGCUCGUCAGCAGUGAGCUUCUUGGCGUAGGAGUGGUCUCUUGGCAAGCUGGAGUGGACCAAAAGAUGGUGGGCCACUCUAGGGUCCUUGCAGCGGUCGUUGAUGCUCACAUCCCACUCUGGACAUCAGUGCUAGUCGGGGUGCUUCUUGUCCAUUCCGACAGGUUGCGACUGCACGUAGUGUCGGUUCUAAAGAGAUGACCUCGUGAUCGGAGUCUCGGUCGUUUGAAAUUGCUUGCCCCGGCCGAAGGUGGAGCAGUCACGGUCACACCUCGGGUGGCCACUCCUUCCGAAAUGGCCGAAACUCGGGAGGUGUUCUCGAGGACUACCGUUAGCGGGGUGCUGGCCGAGGCACUAGGAGUGUCCUUCUUCUUCUUCUGUAUUCUUGAGGUCUCACCAAGAGCCUUUCAUUUUUAUUGCUUCUUGGCCACUACGGCUGUGCCUGAGGUGAUCAGAUCUGACACUCUCACAACUGUAUAAGAAGAAGAUAUUACUACUUAGAAUCAAUGGAAAAAAGAACAAAACAAGACAAUGAAUUGAAAAAUAUAAUAUUUUUCAAGCCGAGUAAAGAAGUAAGGAGGGCGAUCCGGGCUGAUUAAAACUUGACUUAUCCCGCCGUUUACAAGGACCACCUCAGGAUAAUUCUAACUGUUGAUCUUGAGACCCGACCCGAGGAGUUUACAAAAGUUCUCCUCUUUAUGUUGACCCAGGAAAGGAUCUUUAGCCGAAGUAGAUGGCCUUCACCAAAAUCCCCGGGGGAACUUCUCGGCAGGGACGAAGAUGAAAUUGCGCUUCCACUCUUUUAUUGAUGAAUGAGCGUCCACCAUUAAUUUCGAGACGUUCUUGUUUCGGUUCUCGAAAUAGAACCAUCCUUUCUCGUUCCCAUUAUUCUUGAUGGCGUAGUAACGGCGAAAAAGGUUCACUAUGGGAUUCAAGCCUUGCUCUCGGUAGAGCAUCUCGAAUCCGAUGAGUAUCCGAACUACGUUCGGGACCAAUUGGGCGUUCUUGAUGCCCCAGUACCUUAGGCUAUUUCGGAAGAAUCUUGUUGUGGGCAUUCUCAACCCUACUUCCAGUUGGUCAACGUAGAUGGCCACCGUAUCAUCCGGGGGCAUCUCGGCUGUUUUGGUCGCCCGGGGUGGAUAGAUGUUAUAGUGUUGACGGAAGGGCUACUUUCGAAUCACCUCGUUCGCUGCGGUCUGACCAAUGACGCUGCUGAAGAAGGGAGUUGGCCAAAAUCUACGAUCAAGAGAUCUGGAGGGGUGGCUGGCUCCUGCACUCCCUCGUCUUGGGGCAUCUCGGAUCCGAGUUUAUUGUUGUACAACACCUCAGAUCCUUCUUGGCUCUGGUCUUGUGAUGUUUCGUUCCCAACGGAUGCCUCGACUGCUUCUUUCCCCGGGGUCGAUGAAGCAUUUUCUUCUUCUUCAAUCAGGUCGGGCCUUUCCGCUGUAUCAUAGUUCGGCCUGACCAUCUCCUUGUGUGUACGGGCUAUCCGAAUCAUAUUGCAGAAAGUAAAAGGGGUGGUGAACUUACUGUUUAUAGAAGAAAAGGGCUGGGGUGAGCAGUUGAAACACUUCGAGUAUUCUCCCUGACCUCGGAUAUUCAGACGUUCACGCAGGGGAUUGCUGUAAAUUUUUGAGGUAAAAGGUUAAUAGCGAGGAAGGACCCCCUAUUUAUACUGGUAUUGCGGGAGAUGAAAGGUCCGCGUCUGUUGAGUUCCCCCAAGACGCACCCUCUCUUCUCAUUUAUGACCAGCCGUCGUUCUGACUGCCUGUCACGUGUCCUUUCACGCCCUGUCAUAAUGACUGACGGCCGUCUCAUCGCCCCUUGCUUUAUCCCAUUUGCUGAUGAUUGAUGUGUUAUCACCCAGACACGUUGAUGACCUGUUGUACCCUCACGAAAGCCCCAGAAGGCAACAAAUAACCUGUUCCUUCUCGAGGCUAGGGAGGCCUAUUGAGGGUGGUCAUUUCAUCCCAAUUUCGCUGAGUCGAGCUCCCUCUUCCCUGAAUAAAGAUCUGUUAAUCCUCACCUCGGCCUCCUUGUACCGAGGUGAGGAUUACACACCUGAGGUUCAACCACCCGUCCCGAUUACUCCGGCUGUCGCGGUCACUACCCUGAAGUUUCACUGUGCCUGAUGGGACGGGCGAAGUUAGGUCACAGACUGACACCUGCAGGGACAGGAUGUCUGAUAAGACCUGUCCCCGACACCGACCUGUCAAGAUAGACUGACAUGCUCAGUCUGUCAGGUCCUAGGAAGUUGAAUCCUACCAUCAUUUUCUCCCAAUUGUCCCCUAUAAAUACAGAGAUCUCACUCAAAAGGGGACCCGAGAAAAAAAUACACUCUGUAAGAACUACUCUCUAAAGAAAACUUCACUACUUUCCAUUCCAAAAAGAAGACUAACUAGAUCAUCGAAGGAAAAUCGGGGGAUUCAACCCCACCUUUGAUAAUUUGAGCAGGUGACUUCCGCAAGGCAGUACCCACUUCAGGAGAUCACUCCCGCACUUUGGUACAGCCUGUCAACUCCGAAAAUCACCUCUUGAUUGCUCAAGUUGGCAAUUCUUUGACUACAUGACUAACGCUUAUGGUAAAUCCAAGUUUUUGUAGCUUCUUGUCAUGCUUCUCUGUCGAGGCUGGAACAGUGGCUUUGUUAUAUUGUAAUCUGUUAAGAAAAAAACAAAAUAAAAUAGCGUGUGUGCUUUUUAUGAGAAGAGGGUGUGGGGCGGGGGAAUCCUCUUCAGUGGCAAAAUUGUUUCAUUGCCAUCUCUAUUUUUGUUUGAGCCCUCACGUCCUUAGAUUAAGAUAUGGUUUUGAAUCUUGGAACUAGUUCAAAUAACUUCUUACAUAAGUUAUUUAAUGACUCGUAGGGCAAAACUUGUAAACCUUUCUUGUCCUUUCUUUCAUCUAAUGUGGGAUUUUUUUUUGUCGGGAUUUAGGUCUCUCAUUUAUCAACAUAAUAAUCAAAUCAAACGCGGGCAAUAUUUUAAACUCAAUGUGGAGUCAAAUCAAAAUUAAAUAAUAUAACGUUCGACUCUUUUGAACUCAUGUACAACUAUAUUUUUCAAAAUUUUGUACUAUUCAGGGUUUGUUUUAGUUUCUUUAGGAAAAUUAGACAUCCAAUAAAUGAGUGCUUGAAAAAUGAAACCAAAGGACAAAGAAAAUUGCUUACUUUGCACUUGCAUUAUCCAAGUUCGUGUCUCAUGAUAGAGACUUAGCUGUCAAUUAUCAUCCACAAUUACAUGGUUGCUUGUAAUGGAGUUAUUUUUGAUUGAUGGAUCGUUGUCAAUCAUGAUACCUCAGCAGGUAUUGGAUGGGUGCUCCAAGAUCCACUUCAUAAUAUAAUCCAUAAACUAAGCAAGAAGGUCUAUUCUCUCUCUCUUUUUUUUUUUUUGGGCCUGACGUAAUAGAUCUACACUACUCUCUACUAAGAGAAGGGGGAUCUGAAGAAUUUUAAGGACAAUUUGGAGAGGACUGAACCAUCACCAGUCCAAACGGGUGCCUACACACCCACUGACAACAUUUCUAGAAAACCUAGAUUUUUAGAAUAUAGGUCAAGGGAUUUAAUCUCUUGAUUUACAUUCAAGUAAAGUUUUAAAACUCUCUUGAUGGCCGAUUAGCAAGAAGGUCUAUUCGUCAUCUCCAAUUUGCAUCGAAGCUCUAGCUUGUUUGGAUGCUUUAAUAUGGGUUAAACAACUAAAUAAUGCCACUAUUCUGGUCAAGACAGAUUCCCUUCUGCCCCUAAAAUACAUUAUGGAUCCAUGAAUUUCGGAAGUGUAUGUUAGGUCCAUUUCCGAGAUAUAAUUUGUAUGUCUCAAUCGUUUGAUAGAAUUAUAUUUAUCAAGGUUUGCAGGUCAUCUGUCAAUUUAGCCCAUAACUUUACUAUUAAAGCUAGACCUCUGUAAUUAUGUGUAAAUAUUAUUAAAUGCUUUCAUUUUCAAGAAAAAAAAAAGAUGCCAAUUACUUCUCUUUAUUGAAUUUGUCCACUUGUUUCCAUUAAUAAAUAUAUGUUUGGAUAGAGUAUUAUUUAAAAUAAUUACUGUAGCACUUUUGUGAUAAAUGUGAGAUAAAAAGAUGGUCGGGAAUAUAAAACAUGAAUUAAAAAAUAUAUUUAUAAUGCAAGCGAAAUAUUAUUUGCAAUAAUAUGGUAUCAAAACAAACUUCUAGUUCGAAAAUCGGUAGCAUGUUGAAUCAAUCAAAGACAUUUGUAUCUUGUUUAUGAAUUGGAUUGGUAUACUUGGUACUCUAAGGUUAUUAAAUAACAAGUGGGCUUGGUAUUAUUAUUCUUUUCACAAGAAGCUAAUUUCAUCGUGAAAGUGUUGUAACUCAGGACUUGGAUAGUAAUUUUAAAACUUUAAUAGUGCACCUAACUUUCAACUUUUCAUGUGCUUUCAGGGUACCAAAUGGAAAAAAAAAAACCCAUGUAACUUCAAGUCUAAGAUGGUAUGCAAUUCAUUAAGUUAAUAAGUAUUCAUAAUUUCAUAUGUAGAUGUUAAUAUACAUUAAUAUAUAAAAAGUGCAUGAUUGAUCACAAACAUAUUUAUCCUAAUAUUAGAGUCUUUUUUUUUUUUUUUGAGAAUUCAACUUUUCGUGCAAACAUGUAAUCAACAUGCAUAAAUGAGAUAACAUUAGAUGAGUUAAACAAGUAGCCUUCAAAUAUAAAAUUUUGAUUUCAUAAAUGUGCAUUGGCAAUUUAGAAGAGAUACUUUUCAAAUGACAAAUCUAGAGAGCAACAACUACUCCUACUUUAUUUUGAUUUCUAAUCUUCUUUUGACGUAUCAAAAAGGUGAAAACAUGAAAUUAAUAAUGGAUCAGAUAGAGAAGAGUACACUGUGAGUAAAAAUAAAAUGAAUAAUUUAUUUUCAAUUUCUUCGUGUAUAAAUUUUUCCUUAACAUUAAUCGUUGACGUAUCAUUUAUUAUAGACUCUUUCAAGGCACCAAUCAAAAGUUCUAAGUGCUCGAAACAAUAUAAAACCUAACACUGAAUAUGAACAAUAGAACAUGUAAUUACCCAAAUGCAAAAUCAUAUUAUACAUGCACUAUUCACCCACGACGUAAAGCACAAUUUUAAAGUUUAUUCAAAUUUCGAGCUUUGUUUGGUUAGGUGUUUUAGAGAUAUUAUAUUAUAGGUUUUUUUCUUUUGUCUUUUCAAAAAAAAAAUAUACUUGUAAGAUAAAAAAAUAGUUGAAAAACUAGUUUAGAGUUUUAUUAGAAAUUUAUCAGGAGAGCAGUAAUCCCUCAUCAGCCAUCCCCUCAUUCUUCCAUGUAUCUUUUUCAUGAAUUGGGUUGAUCUAUUUGGCGUUCAAAGAUCACAUUUAAAAAGUUUUUUUUUUUUUUUUGCGAAAGUAUUAUAAUUCAGAAUAUGGAUGUAAUUUUAAAACUUUAGUAAUGCACCUACCUUCCAUAUUUUCGUAUGACUAUUGAGUGCUCUUAGAGUAUUAAUGGGAAAAAAAAAACCUUGUAAAUUUUACAUUCGAGCAUAUCCACUUUCUGAAGAGCAGGAAAAAAAAACACCACAUAAUUUCAAUUCCAAAAUUUUAUUUUUUUUUUGAACAAACUUCAAGCCCAAAAUUGUUUUCUUUUUUUGCUAAUUAAAAGUUUGAAUAAAUUCGAUUCCAAUCAUCAUUAAAAAUUAAAAAAUACCCUCUAAACCAUAAGUUACUUACAGAGGUUCUUACAUAUUACAUACUAGCACAAAGUUAAACAAAGAGUAUAACGAUCUUUUCCUUGUAGCUCUUUUCUUCUUUUUCUAUUCUUGAUAGGAUAAUAUACGUAGGAGAGUCUAUUUUGUCUUAUUUCUAUGCUCUUUAUAGCCUUCCUUUGGUCGUAUAUUCCCAGUGCCUCGUGGCUGCAUGGUAAUAUAGGGCUCCUGCUCACUAAGUAUACUUCCAAUUCCAGCUUUCAAGGGACGAGGGCCAAAUCUCUAUUUUGUCUCACCACUAAACAUGUCCAUGAAUCGAGUUUUAUCUAGAUUCAACCCAGAUCCAAUGUACUUAAAUUAGAUUUGAAUUUAAUUCUCAAAUUCGGACCUUAUCCAGACCAAAACCCUAUAAAAGAGUUGUGGGUUUAGAGAGGGUUUGAUUUUCUAUAAUCCAUAUUGAAAUCCAAAUUUAUACAAAACCCUACUCAAACCCAUAUAUAUAUAUAUUAGUAAAUUUAUAAAAUAUUCAAAUAUUCUAUGGUCAUUGGAUCGAACAUAGUAAGACUUCGUGAUUGUUUUCUUUUUUCAAUCUAAUCCUAAUUAUCAUUGUAAUUAGUACAAACUUUUUCAGAAAAAAGUAAAGGCAAAUAAAUAAAAGAUUAGACGUAAAUAUAGUUGAAAUUUUAAAAAUAAAUCAAAGUAGUCAAUAAUAGUUUUUUUUGAGUUUAUAAUAUUGCAUUCAACUUCUUGAAUAUUAAUUUUAUUAUUUGAAAAUAAAAAUUGGAUGGUGUUUAUACUUUUUGAAAUUUACAUAUUUUUAAUAGAUUUUUACUUUAGGGUAUUUAGAAAAAUACAGCGGGUACCCAUUGGGUAUCCCAAAUUCGAGAGUGUCUAGGUUUGAACUUAUUUUUUAAAAAUCAUAAAGAUCUGAGUUUGGGUCCAACCGAAUUUAAUGGAUCUAGAUCAAAGGGACAUACCUACAAAGAUAUACUUAUUUGUCUCACUAUUAUAACCUUUUUUUUAAUAUAAUCCAAUAUUUCAUGAAGUACGUAAUCAAUGACAUAACAUUAGACAAAUUUAGUCCUCCCUGACAAAUCUUUUCAAGAAAAAAAAGACAUAUCUUUUUAUGAGUAAUCUUUGACAAACCUUUCCACGAGUCUUCUUUUCAAAACUUCAAUUACGGCAUACACUUUUGACCAGAGGCGGAGCCGACAAUAAUUAUCAGUAGGGACAAAAAUAAUAUUAAAAAUUCUUCAUUGUCUUUCUUAAAAGUAGUACAUAAUAACAACGGCCCACUUGAUAAAUGAGUUUUUCAUGUGUUUGUUCAAAAUUUUACUGUAACUUAUCGUAGAAUUUGUAAAAUUUUUUUUUGAGAUUGUAUCUAUUUAUUGGAGGUUCUUGUAUAUUCACUUCGAACUUUUUCAUUGGUCUUGGAGCAACUACUAAGCUUCUCAAGUAGUUGUUCCAAAACCAAUAUAAAAUUUUCUUUGAAUGAGCGAUAUAACACAAAAUCACAUAAUAACACAAUAAUUUUCUUUGAAAAAAAUAUAAGAAACAUUUUAAAAUAACCAUAGACCUAUAGUUUUGUAAGGCACAAGGACAUAAUAUUUAUUGUUUUAUUAAAAAAAAUGACGUUCACCAUAGUAGAAGAAAAUUAUGUUUAACUAAGCCAACAUAAUUACUCUAUAUUUUUACUUUUGUUGCAAAAAUUCACAAAAUUCAUUUUACUGAUGUAGAAGGCUAUUGUUUUGAAUUUUGUAAAAUUUCAUUUCCAUUAAGUUACAAAACUAAUGAUAUUUACAUUUACUUCUAAACAACAAAAUGGGAGCACAAUCGAAAAUUUCUCAGAAUUGCAGGAGUCACAAUAGGGGCAUAAUUGAAAAAUUCACAAAAUUACUUGAGUAACAACAGAAUUCUGUGCGGGGCAGUAGGGGCCCGUGCCUACAGUUCCCCCAUUGUCGAUCCACUUCUGCUUUUGACAAUAUGCCCCCUUUCUGAUCCCCUUGCGAAGCUAUGGAUCAAUUAUUCCCAUUUGUGAAUGUCAAUAUCAUGAAAUGGAGCUUGGAAGGAUGUAUUUCUGUAUUAAAAAACUUCUUCAAUCUCCUGUUUCUUUCAAGCCAGAACUAUUAAUGAUUUUGAAGCUAUAAUUGCUCUUGCAUGAUGAUGAGGAAGCUAUGAUUGAGAACACUAGCGGAUUUAAGGUGGGGUCACUGGGGGCACGGCCCCACUGCUUCCCUUAAAUUCCUACAAUAUGCAUAGAAUUUUGAUAUUAUUUUAAGUGUGCCUUCAAAGUUUUUUUUAUGAAAUAAGUGAAAUAAUUACGUGAUCUUUUAAAUUGAUCCAUGAACUAAUAUUCUAAAAGGAUAUGUGGGUCACAAAAUUUCAUUUGAAAUAAGUUCAAAAAAUCUUUUUCAUUUUAACUUGUUGGUGAAUAUUUUUUUACUUAAAAAACUAACAAAAUAGUAGGAAAAAAAUUUUAAUGCUGCUUUUGCCCCCACUGAAAAUUUUUUCAAGCUCCGCCACUGAUUGAGAAUAUCUGACUGUCCAUGAUAGAAGCAAAUAUUGUUGAUGUAAAAUACAUUACUAAAUGUGCCAAUAAUGUAGCACAUGAAUUAGGUUUUCAUACUAACACUUCUAACAUUAUGGAAUUCCUAUGAAAUUCUCCACCUAACUUUGUUAAAAAAUUCAUGCUGGACCAAUUCCAACGAUUUAGUUAAUAAUAUUUUCUCUUUUUAUCAAAAAAAAAAAAAAAAAAAGCUCAUAGGCAUCAAUUGCUUUUUCAAUACAGCUUGCUUUUACAGUCCUACGACCACAAUCUUUUGUCAGAGGAAAUAAGGCUGAAAAAAUAUAUAUAUAAUUUUUUGCAUCAUCAUUGUGAUACAAUGAAGUACAGAAACUGCUUAUGAGAAAAUUUAAGAUAUUUUUACACUCAACUUUUUUUUUUUUGUUUCUUUCUCCUUUGUAUACAGGUUAAGUAUAUGGGAUAAAAAAGAUAAGUAUGUACCACAUAAUUACUAGCUGCUCUCAUUGAAACCUGUUGCUGCGUGAAUACUUCACAAGAUUAUGUCAAAUUAUCACUUCAAAAUAAAAAUAAAAGGAAUUCAAAAGAAAAAUUACUAACAAUUAAGAGCUAAUUCCUCAAAAUAUUUCCCCAAAAAAAUCCAGCUAAUGUGGUUCUGAUAGAGUCCAUUUCAAAAACUAUGGUUUUUUUUUUUAUUCUUGGUAGCCGCUUUUAAAGGAAAAAAAAAUUCAAGGGCUGCCAUCUCUUUUUAAAGGCAACAAUGUUUUUUUUUUUUUAAUUCCUGGCGGCCACUUUGAAAUAAAAAAAAAAUUGAAGGGAUGCUGUAUUGAAUCAGCAUGACAGCCCUCUUCUUUUUUUUUUCUUUUGAAAAAGAUGCUGAGCCUGCAUGUUAUCUUACAAAUAGGCAGUUGCUUUAUUUUUUGUGUUUCACGGCAGCCCGGUGACUUCUACAAUUGUUUAUGUUUCACACAAAACAUAUUGAAUACUUGAUGGGGUAUUAUUCAUAGAACCUAAAAAAUCCUGUGAAUGAUACUCCAUCAAAUAUUCAAUGUUUUGUGUGAAAGAUAAACAAAUAUAGAAGUCAAUGGGCUGCCGUGAAACACAAAAAACAAAGCAACUGGCUAUUUGUAAGACAACAUGCAGGCUCAGGCAUCCUUUUUAAAAAAAAACAUGGCAGCCCUUGAAUUUUUAUUUUAAAAAAAAAUUGGCUGCUAGGAUUUUUAAAAAAAGAAAAUUGUUUCCUGCCAUGCUAACACAGCGAAUUUUUAUUUAAAAAAAAAAGUGGCUGCCAGGAAUAUUUUUUUUAAAAAAAAAAAUCUCAUGGCUGGCAUAAUUUUGGAAAUGGACUCUAUCAAAGUCACAUUUGCCAGUUUUUUUUUUUUUUUGGGCAAUAUUCUGAGAAAUUAGCCACAAUUAGCGGUAUAUUCUUUCUCUUUUUUUUGACUACUUUUAUAAGAACAAAAUGUAUAACAGGAAAGUCUCAAUAGACUCCCUUAUUUGACAAGUGACAAAUAGGACUCAAGUACUACGAACACUAAAUUUUAGGGGGUUUAAUAUAAUUACAUUUUAGAAUUGAUUAAACAUGAGAAAAACUGGAAUGUGCUCUUUGUCUGUCACAUUAGUGGCCGUUUUGGAGAUGUAAUGAUUUAUUAAAAAAUAUUUCACCCAUUAGAGCUUUUGAUGAUAACACUUGAAAGUGUGUUAUUUCGACGCAUACAUUGAUGAGUGAUUGUUAUGUAUGGAUUGUUAACCCACGGAUUUUAUCAAAAUUUUAAAGAUUAUUCGAUUUUUAGGCUAUGUUUGGUUAGGUGUUUUCCAAGGUGAUUUAGGGGUAAAUUGACUAUAAAGAUGCGACGAAAAUAUACUUUGAACCUAAAGUUCAAGUUGUGAUUAGUAAGUUAAUUUCCUAUUUUCUAUUCUUUUUAUGAUGCUAUAUUCAGGUUAGAAAAUCUUUGAUUAAAUGACUGAAGCUUGUGGUGAAUCGAGUUUUUGCAACUUCUUGUCAUGCUUCUUUAUCGAGGUUGGAACAUUAGCUUAGUUAUGUUGUAAUGUGUUAAAGAAAAAUAAUUACAGGUGCCCCUGUGGUGGUAGCAUGCAGGGCAGGAAAGUUAUAUGACAACGGCGUUGAGAUUGGAGUUGCUCACUCUAUCUUUGCAUCCUCCCUCGCACUUGUAGAUGGAAGUAAGGAUAUUUAGCCUGAAGUUUUGAGUUUUAGAACUGAUCCAAAUGACUUUUAAGUGAAAUCACAGAUUCAAAUUGAUUUAUUUUUUAUUAUAUAUAUUCCGAGAAUGGAAAAAUUUUACAAGUAUACGAGAAAUGAAAACCAAAAUAAAAAUGGAAAAUGCUUACCUUUGUGCUUUUACCUCAUCCAAGUCAGAGUCGAAUGUUGCAUCCCUCUAUAAGUGGCAAAUAAAUUUAUUUAACUAAAUUUAUCCAUACCCGUCCAUGAAUAGAUGAAUAUAAAUAUCUUAAAUUUUUGCAUAUGGGUAUAAAUGGUUAUCCAAUAAUGCUCAUUUAUUAAAUGAGCAUUAUUGGAUAAUCUAUCAAACUCAAUUAACCCAUUUAAAAUUAUCUUCAUCCAAGCCUCCUCUCUUCCCCCACUCAUUUUUUUUUCAGAUUCUUUAUUUUGUCAUGAUGUUAACUACUUUUGAUUCAUUAUUAUUAUUAUUAUUUGUUGGUUUUAGCUUAUCAUUUUAUUUUCCCUUAAUUUGUUAACUUGUUCAUUUUUCAGCAUUAUUAAUUUAUAACAAGUUUUAGUCUCUUUUCCUACUUUCUCAAAAUGAAAUUUUAAAUUUACAUAUGAAAAAAAUGCUAGGGGUUCAAAAUUUUUGGAUUAAGUUUUUAUGUUAACUUUUAUAGUACUUAAUUCAAAAUUUUAUAUUCUUGUUGUUUAAUUAUUAAAUAAUAUGUAAUUUUGCGACAUAAAGUAUUGAUAGGAAAAAAAUUGGUAAUUAGAUUUAUGAGCAUUAUAAGUAAAUAUUUAAAAUUAAUGAUGGAUGCAAAUUAUGGUAUAAAUUGAUAAUUUAGUUUGUAAAAAUGAAUUUAAAUGAGUUCACAAAAAAUUAAAAUAAAUGGGUUAUAGAUAGGUAAUUAGGUUAUUCAAUUCAUUUUUUAACUUACUCAUUAGAUGAAUAUAAAUGAGUUGACUCACCUAUUCCCAUUAUCCAUUUUAACUGAUUCAAACCCGUCCAAAUCACUGAUUUUGGACACAUCUACAUCCCUCCAAAGUCUACCUCAGACUUUAAGGUUCCCAUUUUGUCCUGCCUUGGGAAGCGGGAUGGAAGAAGGACAUGUGUGAGUGUGAUAGUCAUAGAUGGAUGCAUGGCACACGCUCGUUAAUUCGGAGAGGGAAGGCCGACGCGCAUGUACAUGGAAGCAAAAUGCUACGCGUCGGGUUAGAAGGAAACAUGAAUAAAAAAGAAAAUGUGUUAAGUGAGGGACCAGAGGGGCAAAUACCAACGAAUACCGUAUGUGAUCGGUUAGAUAUAUGUAUAUAAAGGGAUAAUUGCAUAUUCCCACCCUGAGGUAUGUACCAUUAAAAAUAAAGACUAAAGCCAGAGAGCGUCGAUGUAAGUCUCGCAAAUUGUAACAUUAGCAUGAGCGUAUUAGAAUUUAGUAACAUCAGCAACCAUCCAUAAAACUGCAGAAAAUGCAAAAAUCAAUAAAGUGGAGAGAAAAUUUUUUUUAAUUUGGAAUCGAUAUUUACAUGUAAAGUUGUUAUAGUGUUGGUAAUGGAAUUUCAAAAACUUUGAACAGGAAUUGGACAAGAGGUGAAAAAAAACACAUAUACACAAUACAUUCCCAAGGUGAAAAAAAAAAUAAAAUACACUGCAAAAGUUAAUACGUUUGGAAUCGUUUUGUUCACUCAUGGAGUCCAUCCUUUUACAUGAUUAACAAGAGAUGUUCAUCUUUGUAAAGAAAAAGUAACAAUUUUGAGGUGAUGUUGUAAUUAAAUUUUAAAGAAAAAACAAGUAAAGCAAAGUAGAGAAAAUCUUUCUAACCAUCUUGUUCAGAUUACGUAUACAAAAAAAAAAAAAAAAAGAAAAAAAAAACACUAAACAUCAUUGAAAAGAGCGAAAAUAAUAGAUUAUUUGCAAUUACAUUUUAUCUACCUAAUGAAAUCUAACUGUAUUAAGUCCCUCACAAGUACAUUAACUUACUAAGACCAUGUAAAAGAUUUGAUUGUUCUAUAUUAAUAGUAAAACUUAUAUUAAUUUGAUCGUGCUGAGUGUGCAAUAAUAGUUGGACUCACAGAAAAGACCAAAAAUAAAAUACGAAAUUGAAACAUCCGCUCACAUGAAUGAUUUGGUAAAACAUCAUACUUGCAAAUAUAGGUAAACAUAACGCCUUCUUCAGAGGACUAAGAGUGGAGUGACGAAAAAAAGGGUAUGAUACUCCUCUACAUUUUGGUGAUCAAAAUGUAUAAUACCAAAAUGUAUAAUACCAAAAUGUAUAAUGAACAGUAUAAACUAGAAUAGUAACAAAUAAAAAUGGUUGCGAAAGUGUAAAAAAUUAAAUCCUUCUUCAAUAUAUUGCCAUAUUCCCCUCCAUUUAUUUCUUUUCUUAUGCGUCCCACAUUCGCUUUGCCAGGCGCGUUUUGAGUGCUUGCUCGGCCAAUUCAUUUCGGACCACAAACAAGUGGCACUUUGGAUCGCGUAAGACGUGUCCAUUUAUUGCUUCGUUCCUCCCAUAAAGCCAUAAAGGGGUCCCGUCAUUUUUUUUUGUCUACUUUUUUUUUCUUUUUUUUUUUUUACACACGAGAUAUCCGGACCUUCGAUCCAACUAAUCUCAUUUGUCUAUAUGUAUAUAUAUUUUUUGUCUACUUGUUUCUAUUUUUUUUUCUUCCAACUUCUAGGGAAAUCCCAAGAAUUCGCUAACUAAACUGAGCCCAAGAGCAAUCGUAAAAAACCGGCAACUUUUGACGACGCCCCAGGAGCUUAACUACCCAACCCUUAACACCCCCACAGCCGAUGUGGGAUAGAAACCCCAACAGGGGCCAAGCCUGCGCUGGAAACUGCUACCAGGCCUUAACUAAGAACCCAUCCCCAACCGCCGACCCCUUGCUGUUGUUUUUUUUCUUCCAACUUCUAGGGAAAUCCCAAGAAUUCGCUAACUAAACUGAGCCCAAGAGCAAUCGUCAAAAGCCGGCAACUUUUGACGACGCCCCAGGAGCUUAACUACCCAACCCUUAACACCCCCAACCGAUGUGGGAUAGAAACCCCAACAAGGGUCAUCUACUUGUUUCUAUUGAUAACAUCUUUUGACCGAUAUGCAGCACAAAAAGUAACUCGCCCAUGAGUACAAAAUAGGCGUUACAAAAAAAUCGUUCCUACCAAACUCGUGGAGUUAUUUGCCUAAAUAACUCACUUCACAACAAAUAUAUUCCUAAAAUGAUUCAAUUUCAUACUUUAUUCUCGUAAGAGACUUUUCUCUCAUAACAGAGUUUUCUGUUAUCCGUCCGAUCAAAUUAAAACGAAAAUGAAAAAUAUCUUCCCAUUUCUAGCUAUACCUUUGUUUGUUACUUUAUUAUACAAAAAGUCUUGAAUACUUAACAUGAAUUUAACAAUAUUUUUAAAUAUGAGAGCAAAAGUCUCGAAUACUUAACAUAAAUUUGACGAGAUUUCUAAACAUGAGAGCAAAAUCUACAAUUUGACUAUUUAUUUUUGUUUCAGUUACGACAAUUUUCUCUUUAAGAUACUUGUAAUAAAAUUUGAAAUCGAAUCAUUGUAGGAAUAUUUUUUGAAAAAAAAUGUUAUUUUGGUAGAAGACUCUGAGUGUGUUUGACAGUAUUUUAUUUGGAAAAUUUUUUAAAAAAAAUUAUGAAAUUUUUUUAAUAUAAUAAAUAUAAAAAAAUAUAUUAAUGAUACAAAUAAAUUUUGAUAAAUAAUCCACCAUCCAAACACACUCAACAGGCAAUGCCAGAAACAAAGGUUCGCGACUCAAUGUGUUAACCACCCAAAACCUUCUAGGCAGUGCCAUAAAGAAUGGUCAUUGCUCUACGUGUUAACCACCUAGAAGCUUCUAGGCAGUGCCAGAAAGAAAGAUCCACAACUCUACGUGUCAACCGCUUAAAACCCUGGAAGAACGGUAAAGAUGCUUUUAAUAAAAUUAAAGUUUAAAAAUUAAUAUCUGAACUCUGAAUCCGUCAAAUUAUUAAAUCUUAUAUAUCAUACAUUUGAAUGUAUGUCACGUUAUAUUAAGUGACAAGUAAAUAGUUUAUUAUUUAUUUAUUAAAAUAAAUUUUAUUUAAAAAAUUUAAUAUUAUUUAAUUAAUUUAUAUAUUUUAUUUUUUAUUAUCAAACGCGUCUGAAUAUAUUAAAAUAUGAAUCUAUAUAAUUACAAAGUUAAUUGUGAUAUUAGGGACAAAUAUAAAUAAUUAAGGUGUGCUGUGCUGUGCUGUGUGACAAAGUCCCGUGAGUCUGGUCCAUCAAUUAAAUUACUUGAUCCAUCCAAUUGAGAUGAAUUUUUUUUUUUUUUUGUCGGAACAAUAAGUCCAAUCGAGAUCAGCUUGAGUGUGAAUUACUAUUCCUUGUUUUAUUUGUCCACUUGUUUCAAUUGACAACUCUUUAAGAUACCAAAAAAUCAACUGAAAUCAGUGGGAUCUCCGCAAUUAAUUGCGGAAUAUAAUCCUGUUUUUAUAUAUUCUUUGUACGUCUAAUUAGUUUCGUCUCAGGAAAGGAAAAAUAUACGCACAAAACACAAGUCUAGCUCAGAAUUUAGCGGUGACCGAUUCUACCUUCCUUUUUGGUAUCAUACCUUGAUCCUGAAUUCACGGUUGAAUGGUCAAAUAUUACUAUUUUUGACAUUUAGAUGGUUACAGUUUCAAUCGUUUAAAUUAUGGGUUACUAUCAUCGUUGAAAGAUACGCAUUGAGGGAACGGUAUCCUAAGAAGACUAUAGAAUUUUCCUAAUGGAUUAUACAACAUAUUAAUAUUUGGAAAAAAAAAAAUACUUCUCACACAGUUGUGUUUGAUCUCAACGAAUCUUCACUAUUUUAAAUUGGUGUGGAUCACAAUCAAUGUCAUGACUUUACAUGAAUAUCAAAUAAGGGUGCACGAAUAUUAUAAUAUGAAAAGUACAUGAUAUGAAAAAAAAAAUAAUUGUGUUUGGUUAGAAAAUUAUUUGAAAUAAUUAUUGUAACAUUUUUUAUGAUUUGAGAUAUAUAAGAUAAAAAAAAUUUAAAAAUAUAUUUAUGAUGUAAUUAAAUAAAUUUUUUUUGACAAAUAAUGCCCAUCCAACCGCACUUGUAUGUACUCCUUUUCAAUUUCUUUAUGUAGAAUAUUUUUUUUGAUUAAUCGUCAAUUAUAUCUAUAUAAUACUUUAUUCUAAUUUAAUUAAGAGAGGAUCAACUGGACCUACAAAAAGUUGAUGGGAACAGAAUCACCAUCAGAUCGGACAGGUGCAUCAAGCAUCCAUUUGAAUUUUUUUGAAGAAAUAAUUAAUGUGGCAAUUAGUGGAUGGUAAAAUUUGCUACUUUAAUAGAAUAUUUUCUUGAAUAUUGAUUUUUGACAUGUCUUUUGUCAAGGCCAUAAAUCAACCCGGGCCUACUCCACAGUUCACACCGAUUCCCGCCGACGAUGGAUAUCUUAUCCACAAAAGCAUGUUCCUACCGCACUAUUAUAUAUUAUUCCGUCAUCCCCACCUCCUUCCUCCUCACUCCUCCCUCGCAAAACAGUAAACUCUGAUCCAUUCCACUCUUUCCUCUGUGCUUUUUUGUCUGAAAAUGGCAGCACCAGUGACAGUGCCAAGAAUCAAGCUGGGCUCGCAAGGUCUUGAAGUUUCAGCUCAAGGGCUGGGCUGCAUGGGCAUGUCAGCCUUCUACGGGCCACCAAAGCCCGAGCCCGACAUGAUCAAACUUAUUCACCAUGCUAUUAGCAGAGGCAUCACCCUGCUUGAUACCUCUGAUGCUUAUGGACCCCAUACCAACGAAAUCCUCAUCGGCAAGGUGACUUUAAUCAUAUUUAUUUGCAUUUUUCUGCAGUUGUGCGGUAUGCAUGAGCUCUUGUACUUUUAGUUUUGACUUUGUUCUUGGUUGCUUUAGAUUUUGCAAAAUUUGAUUAUGGGAAGUGUUUAUAAAAAAUAAUUAGAAUCAGCAAAAAUUGUGCUUUGGCCAAUUAUGAAUUUCAGAUUUUUUGGUUAUUAAAAAAAUUGUAAUCUGAAGCGUCAUAAAAAUUGAUUAUUCAAAAUUAGAAUAUAUAAUCAAUUAAAAUAACAAACCUGUAGUUAGUGAAUGCGUAGGAACUCUCACUAUCUGGGAAGUCUUUCUGAAAACUACCAGUAUUAGAUAAUUUACUUUCCAAACAGGGCAAUAGGAAAACUGUACUCCUCUAGUCUCCUAUUCUUUCUUUUUCACUUGGAUGUUUUCAUUUGGAUCCUAAUAGGGCACUAUUUACUGCACCUUAAUAAUUUGAUUUGAGUUUCCUUUUUUUUUUUUUCUUUUUUAUUCAGGUUCAUGUGUACGACUCUCUGUCUAUGUUCAUGUUUUGCAUCAAAUCUUAUCAAUGGUAAAGAUAGACUGAAAGAAACAGAAAGAAGAACAGAAAAAAGAAAAGGGAUUGGCUCCUUUAACUGAAUCAAACUUCUAAAGUCCAUGGUUUACAUAAUCUUCAUUCUGCAUGCUACCAUAUUCAAUGGGAAGAAGUAGAAUAGUCUUAAAAAUGAAAAGGAUGGAAAAUCUCUGACAGUUUGUGCCAUGCAUGGAUCACAAAUCAACUUGCUAUAACAUGCAAUAAUAUGUAUGUCCUCGGUGAUUGAUGUUAUGAAAGCAUGGUUGUAGGCCUUGAAGGGAGGAAACAGAGAGAAAGUGGAGCUAGCAACAAAAUUUGCAUUCACUUAUGAGGGUGGGCAGUUUGGUAUACGUGGUGAUCCAGACUAUGUGAGAGCUGCAUGUGAAGGCAGCUUGAAGCGGCUUGGUUUGGAUUGCAUUGAUCUCUAUUAUCAGCAUCGCAUUGAUACAAAUGUGCCCAUUGAAGUCACGGUUUGCUCUAUUUUUCCUUUCUUGUUUUUAAGUUCCACAUUCUUAAUUAAAUAAAAGUUUGAUCAACUUCAAAUAUAGGCAUACAACUGAGUUUCGUGUCCUUUGCAAUUGCUUCAAAAAUACAAAAAUAAAAAAAAAAUUCUUAAAAAAUGCAAUUGGUGUACUAUGCAUGUUAGUCUGCAUUAAUGUAAAGCUCAUUUAGCACCAGCAUCUCAAAAUUAAAAAGAACCAUAGUGUUAGUCUUGUAGGCACAAAAAUUGUAGCUUGACGGCCCUGCUGAGGGAGUUACCAAUGGAUAUGACAUGCUAUAGAUUCUAUGGCUUUCCUUUAGGACGAGAAGGCCUGUGUAUUCUCUUUCAUUUGAAAUAUGUAAUCUGGUUGAGUAUUCAUAUGCUAAUUUAUCCACCUUGUCAGUUCUCAGUUGCCACUUCUUUUAAUUCAGUGCAUAAAGCAGCAGAUUGGUACUCAGUUUUUAUCAAAUUGAAGUUUUUAUGGAACGAUUUAUGUAAGUUCUUUUCCUGGUGUAGCCAGCAAAAUAUAUUUUGCUUUUCCUGAGUAGUAGGAAGAAAUUUUCAUAUCGUACAAUCACUCAAAAUACAGGUAAGUUUGAAUGAGAUCAAGCAAAAUUGAUGACUGACAAUUGAUGUGUGCAGCCAUUAGUCUGUUUAAAAGAAGUCAAGAAAGUUGUAUAAUGUUGUAUAAUGUGGUAUAAUGAUAUCAGAGCUAAGUCAACCUGUGAGUUAACAUCAUCAUCAUCUAGAGAAGUAUAUUGGCUGCUUGUUGCCAUUUUUGUCAAGUAGUGCUUUCAGUUUGAUGUAUACUUUGUCAAAGUUGUGCCACUGCACUGAACUAGUUCUUCUUUUCGUUUAUGCAUGUAUAAUUUCAAUUAUCUACCUUAGUAUGGAAAAAAUCAGCUGGGAAAUUUCUCGUCCAUUACAAAAAUUCUAUUUUGCCCAGGUAGGAGAACUUAAGAAAUUGGUUGAAGAGGGUAAAAUAAAGUAUAUAGGUCUAUCCGAGGCCUCAGCUUCAACAAUUAGAAGAGCACAUGCUGUUCAUCCAAUAACAGCUGUACAGUUGGAGUGGUCAUUGUGGACCAGAGAUAUCGAGGAAGAGAUUAUUCCCACUUGCAGGUAGUGCAUUUAUCCUGCUUCAUUUUCUACAUGGUCUGGAAGAAAUAUGAAGUUCUAAGUUCAUUUUGGUGUAAUCUUGUAGAGAGCUUGGAAUAGGGAUUGUUGCAUACAGUCCACUUGGAAGAGGAUUCUUCUCUUCAGGUCCAAAGCUGGUUGAGAAUUUGACUGAUGAUGACUACCGAAAGGUUUGUGAAUAUCCAAAAAGAUUAGUAGUUUCUAGUGUAGCAUAGUCAGUAGCAAUCUUGCUCAAUAUCCCUUUGAUGUCCAAUAAUUUGGUGGAGCUUUUCUGAAACUAUCUAAUUUAAUUAACUUCUGUCCAACAAAGCGGCACAACAAGCUUUUUUCUAUCCACCAAGUCUUCUAGCGUUGGAUUCCAAUAAAUGCAGUUUUUGGCAUUGUUAGAAACUGAACCUUUUGUACAGACAGGAUUGAAAGUGUGUGCUCUGUAUUUAGUUUGAAUUUGAAGAUAGCAAUAGCAUUGUCAAAUAUCACAAGCAGUGGGAGUGUUCUAUUUUAUGGUGGAAGAACAUCCUAGACAUGAGAAAAGGAAGAAACUAUGGCAUUUUUUAGUAAUAUUCUCUUCACAAUUUUGAGGGGAAAUGGACUUACAUUGCAAUGGCAUCAUCUGGUGUUAGGCACAAAAGUUAUACAUUGUCCUCUGAAAUUGUUUUUUUUCCCUUUUCAUAUACAUCCUCUACAGUUUGGUUGGUCACAAGUUCACUUGAUAAUACUGUCCAGAUGGUAUGAAACUGUAUUGGAUUUCUAUUUCGAGUUUCCUCUCUGAUGGGAUAUGUUUCUCAGGAUCUACCUUCUACAAUUGAUGUUUCUUAGCGUACUCAGUCCACCUUACUGGAUUGUUCUUUCCCCUGAACUUUGUACGCCUCAAGCAAUAGUAUCGAUCAUCUUGAAGUUAUUCGUAAUGUUUUCAUUUGUAGACAACACGUGUUGCUCCCUUUUGAAUUUCUGGCAUUACAGUUGCUUAAAUUUCGAAAUUCGUACAAUGCAGUAUAUGCCAAGGUUUCAAGCAGAGAAUUUGGAGCACAACAAGAACUUGUACGAGCAGGUCAAUGCCAUUGCUUCAAGGAAGGGUUGUACCCCAUCACAGCUAGCUUUGGCCUGGGUCCAUCACCAAGGCAAAGAUGUUUGCCCCAUACCUGGCACUACCAAGAUUGAGAACCUCGAUCAGAAUAUAGGAGCUUUGUCUGUGAAACUGUCGGCAGAGGAAAUGGCGGAACUUGAAUCUAUUGCUUCGGCUAUCAAGGGUGAGAGAUACGAGUCUGACGCUGGCACUUGGAAAACUUCUGAAACUCCACCUUUGUCAACCUGGAAGAGGACAUGAAGGCGUACCUUUGUGAUGGCAAUAAUCCCUUCUAGCUGUGUGCCUGUUGGUGGAUUUCACUAUAUUGGGAGUUGAGUAGCAUGUAUUUGUUCCAAGAAAUUUCGUCAUAUUAUUGUCUCGGGGGUUAAGGCAUGUAAAGUUAUAAUAAGAAGAAUGGAGUUUUAAGAGUGAUUGUAAUGAAUGAAGAUUUGGUCAUGUAAAAGCAUAUAGUAAUUUUCCUUGCAGUAUGCAUUAAAAAUUAUCUAUUGUACUUCUGAAUAUUAUAGUUUGGAAAAAAAAAAGGAAUACUUGUUAUCAUUUGGGGGAAAAAAAAUAGUGUAGCUGUCACGCCUCAUUGCUCUGUUAUAUUUCUCGCACGUGCUAGUAACGAGACAUCUGUUAUAUUUCUCAAGGACAAGACAAUAUUAAACUAGAAAUACUUACUUAAAAAGUAAUAGCAUUAAUGGAACUAAUUAUAGUGCGGUAUAACUUUGUAUUCGAAAUAACCUAUAAAUAUUUGAGGAUUUCAUAUGCUAAACAUCAAGUAGAGAUAACAUGUGCGAGUAUCAACUAUUAUAGUAUAGCGAAGUACAACUAUACUACUAAUUCCUAUCUCCUAAAGAUUUAGUAGAAAUCAUUUUUUGGGUUUUGGACAUAGACUAACUCAUAAUAUCCAAAAUCUACAAAAGUAAUAAAAAUGGGUUGAGCGAUGAUUGCUCGGUAGGUAGCAGCUACUGUGAUGUCUCGCAAAAAUUUAUUAUUUUUAAAAUCCAUUCCGAGCAUAUUUAAAUAUUUAAUUGUCCAUUUACUCUGAUUAUUAUUUUCUAACCUCUUUAAAUCUAAUUACAUGGAUUUAUAGUUUCGUUAUAUUUUUUUUAAAGUGUCUCGUUUCAAAAUUUAAUUUUUGGAAGCUCAUUAAGUGAAUAUGGUGAAUACGCGAUUAGGGAUUUUAGCUGAUUUGGAAAUACCAUAAGUUGGGAAAAUUGGAGACUUGUACAAUGGUCCUAAAAUAAGUAUUUCUAUGUUUAAAUAUUCAAGUGAUAGUUAUUAGUACUAUCGUUAUAAGAAUUUCUUGGAAGUUUCGUUUUAUCGCGCUUAAGUUGGAGAUACGCGUUUUUACACGCGCGAUUUAAUUGGGGGACUUUAGACCCUUAUUCUGGGACAAUUAAGAGUAAAUAAUAUUAAUAUGAUUAUAAGUAUAUUGGAGGUUUAGGGCACUAGUGAAAUGAACGCGAGAGAAAUCGAGCACAAAACGCACGCGUACGCGCACUAUUGAAGAGUUGACUUUUGCACCAAUUCUAGCCACACAAAUAAAGCUUUCUUAGGAAGCUAAAUCAGAUCAAAACACUCUCUCUCUUCCUCACAAAGUGGCCGGCCAUCAGCUGCAAAAAUAACCCAAGGAGUUCAUCAUUUUUCAUCUCAAAAUCUUGCACAAAUCAUCUCCAAUUCCUUCCAAAUUUCACACACACUUAGCUUAAUACUUGGAGAUCAUAUUAAGCUGCAAAAAGGGGGAGCUUUUCACGGUUUUCUUGAGCUAAGAGAGGGCCAAAAUUCUGCCUUGUUUACCAACACAAGUAAGUGACGAUCAAUUCUCAAAUUCUUGGUCUAUGGAAGUUGAUUUACACUUAUGAGCUUAGAUAUUCAUGUGGGUGGCUUGUUAUUGUUGGAAAAUUUUGAAUGUGGGCUCUAUGAACUCCCACUCUUGGGUUGAUGGCUGAUAUGAUGCUUGAUGAUGGAUUUAAUGUUGGUUUAGUGCUCAAAUUGGUAGAUUAAUGGUGCAUAGCUAGUAUAAACUUCAAGGAGUGCAUGGAUGUAAAGCUUCCAAUUCUGCCCCUGUUAUGAUUGUGCCUCUUUUUGCAGAAUUUUGAGGUUUUAAUGGUUUGUAUAUGAUGUUUAUCUGUUGUAUAGAUGUUGUAUAAAGUUUCAUCGAAAAAUAUUGAGGUUUGGUUGGUCAAAUGGAUUAAUCUCGCACAGCUAGCAAACCUGGAAAAAUUUUCCCGUAAUGCUCAGACAGCUUUCUUGUUUCGUCCAUAACUCUGUGCUUCGAUGUCAAAAUCAAGUGCCGUCAGUGGCAUUUGAAACUAGACAUUCCCAGAUUUCCAAUGGUAUAAAAUAUAACUCCUAAUUCCACCCGAGUAUUCCGUACCAACCGUUUAAAGAUGACUGUCAUGUUUCUCUAUUUUCCUGGAACGAAGUUCAGAAGCUACAACUUGAGGCUUGAAUUUGAGCUAGUUGUGUGCUGAAUUUCAGAACGAUUUCUUCUGUGAAAUUAUAGUUUCAUGAAUGCAUUUUCCAACGCCACCACCCAUGCUCAAUUCCGAGUUGAAUUGAGUGAUUUGUGAUCAAAAUACGAAACCUGCCUUGUUCUUGAAAACCCUAAAUUUUGGGCAGAAUUGAUGCUAGACUUGGUGUAGACUUGCCAAUUGAAUUUCUUGGAAUUGAAACACUUACCAAAUGUACCAUGAAUGUUCCUUAGGUUUUUCCCACACAAAUGAACCAUGUUUGAAGGAUUUUCCUUGGUCAAAUGUUUUGGAAUGGAAAACAAAAAAAAAAGCUCAAGGCAGUUUUGCCUUAGGAUUUUUCGAAACUUUGGAUGUUUGGUUGACUACUUUCCCGAAGGUAUUUUUCCAUGAAAUUUGAUAGAGGGAUACCCUUUAUAUAGGAGUAUUAUAUUGCCAAACUUGGUGUUAAUCCGAGUCCAUUUCACUGCUCGACUAAAUUACCAAGAUUCAUGACUCGAGUUUGGAAAACCCUUGUUUCACAAGGGAAUUUUGGUAACUUUGAAUUGCCAUAUCUUAGUGCUCAAAACUCCGUUUCUCGUUCCGCUUAUUUUGUUGUAAACUUAGAUUGCGACUCUAAUAGAGUUCCUAAUUUCAAAGGCUAGUUCCAAUUAAGUGAAUUUUGCCGAAUUUUCAAAGUUGGCCAAAAACCAACUUAAAUCUGCCUUAUGAAACAAAACAGCGACUUUGAGCUUAUUUUUGAAUAUUUUUCAUUUGGAAUCUUAGAAAAAUGUAUUUUAGGAACUUUUAGUACCUUGGAAGAGGUUUCCAACGGUACCAAGUUUUCCAAUUUUUGACUUGUAAAGCGUGAGAUACGAUUUUUCUAAUGUAUCGUAUCAAAACUGAAAUUUUCCGAAUUCCAAGGAAAUGGAGUUUUUUCAAGUACUCCUUAUUCCUUCGAUAUUACUUGAACAUUUUAUACUUGAUUUCCAAGAUGAAAACUAAAUUUCUCCUGUACUUUGAAACCCCACUUGAGAGCCUUGAUUUAGAAUAAUUUGGGCUCGUUUCACGAGACUUUCUAAGAUUGUACUGUGGUAUGAUCUUCUUUAAUAGUAGGGGGUUUGUGAAUGAUAGUCUAUUAUUAUUUGCUCAGGCGCACACGAGAACCUUCAAGAGGAUCCCACAGUGAACGCCUAAAGCUCUGAGGGACAUUUCUUCCUCAUUACUUAUAUUGAUGAGUGUCAAGUGUAUGAAUACUUGAUACAUGCUUAAUUGUUAUGAUUGUUUGGAGAUUUUGAAAAUAGAGGCGAGUGUGUAUUUUACCGCACUCAUUCUUAUUUGAAAUAAAUGACUCAUGAUUCAAAUGUACUAAAUGAAUUAUGAAUGGCUUAAUUGAAUGAAAUGAGAUGAUUGAAUGAUUGAAUGAAAUGAAAUGGUAUGCUAUGGCUGCAUACGUCGUUGGAGUGAAUCUCCUUGACUCUCAAAUAAAAAUGGGGGACGCCCAAACUCAUAGGCCGAACUUGGACUCGAGCCGGCAUGGGAUUGGUCGGGAACCUUGGCAAGCCAUGAGAUAAAUAAGCUCGACCUAAUGAGAGGUCUUGCUUGGCAUACUCGUGGAGUAUCGCCUUAUAAAUGUCUUGCGGGCCCGGGAGGUGCACGGUGGACGGAGGGAAGUAAGUGGUGAUCUACGGAAUGGAAAUACCGACCCGGUUGACGGAGUGUCAUCGCGGGAAGGUAUACGAAUGAUAUUGGCAAAGUAAGUGGAAAUUAGCUUCUGAGAGCUCCGAUAUCCUUGAAUUGUUUCUGUUUACUUUUCCACUCGAAUUGUUAUUUAUUGCAAUAUUGUCGCUUUACUUGUUAAAUUGGGGUUGUUACUUGAACAAUGUGCUUACAUGUGUGUUCUUGGCCUCACGAGCGUUUUGCUCACCCUGUAGAUUUGUUUUCCUUAACAGGAUUUGGGCUUGGAGUGAGAUUCGGAGGAAUUUCUCUUUUGUGUACUCUUGUAAUAGGGUUCCAACUCUUUUGUCUAGACUUUUGGGAUAUUAUAUAUUUUGGGUUGUAUUAUGGAAACCCGCUAUAAGAAUUUGAUGAUUGUUAUAUCUCAUUAAGCUUGAACGCUUCCGCGUUAAUUGUAUUUAUCUUUUCUGGUUGUUGAUUUCUAGCACCGCUAUAAGCUUGAAUGGUGAUUGCUUGAGUCCUGACGAGAGUUGGGCAGGCGUUCCGCGGAUACCCUUUGGUUCGCCUUAGGGAGAAGUGGGGGCGUCACAGCUACUCUACUGUUGUACCAUGUAAUUGUAGUAUUACAUAUAUCAAAGCAUUUUCACACACUUUACAUGCACUAGGAGGAUUCGCACGGUGUAAUUUUCAACCUUGCCCAAAAAUGACCAAUUAUUCAAAUUUAGAUAUUAAGUAUGAAAAAUUAUAUAAAAAUGAACUUAAAUCUUUGUGGUUAUAUUUUUGUAGUUUUAUUAAACAAUGAAAAUAAGUAAUUUGUUAAGGUAAUGCAUGAUAAUAUAAUCAAUAGAUUACUGAGAUUAUUAAGAUGUCCCUUGUUUUGGAUACAAUGAAAAGAAAAUAAAAAAAAGAAAGAUAUAUUUGAGGAGAAACUGAUAGUUUUGUUCGUAAACUUUUGCAUGAUUGAGUUGGAUAAUCAUUUACUUGUCCUAGAAAUAAAAGAAAUUAGAGGAGAAAAAAUGAAGAUAGAUGAUCAUGCACUUUAGCUUGACAAAGUCCUCAUAUUGGCUCCUAUAACAUGGAAUAGCAAAUUUAUAACAUAAUUGAAGGGAAAAAAAAAAAAGAAAAGAAAAGUCGAGAAAUUUUCAUUGUUUGCUCCGACCUCAACAAAAAGCAACCAGUACUCAAGUUUCGCUUAAUCUGCAAAACAAAUAAGAUGGAACAUGUAAACUUAAACAUUUAUUUAAUUUUAAUUUUAUUUUAUUGUGUAAGGUAAGCUAAAUUUAUAAUAAAAAGGAAACAAAAAUUACAUUUCUUUGUACAUGCGGAAAGAAAUAGGAUAAGUGUAAGGAAGAAUCAUUCUCAAUCUAGAAAAAUUGGUGACUUUUGAGCAAAUAAAAAAAAUCAUGGCCAAAGUUUCUUACCAAUAUGAGAGUAACUAUCACAAAUUCGGUGAGUUCAAAGCAAAAGCCCAAAUAAGAAAAUGAAAAGAAAAGAAAGUCAAUGUCAAAAACCAGAAUUUGAGGGGAGAUCUCUUCGUGAUGGCAAUAGUUUCUUUUGUUCCUUUUUAAUAAGAGGAAAAGAGCAAAUUAGCAAUGCAAACAAAGCAAAUAUUAAAAUAACUAAUCUCUAAAGCAGAAAAUGGAGAGAAAAACGUCAAAAUUAUGGAAACUUAGUAAAUACUAAAACUUCUGGGCACUUAAGCGCUAUGGAGAUAAACAAACAUUUAGAUUUUUUAGAUUCCUAAAUUUCUAUCACAUAAAACAUUAGACAUCAAAGAAGUAAACAAAAUUUAGCCCAGGCAAUCAUCAACAAACAAAAACCUCUACAUUAUAUCUGUAAAUCAGAAUUCGACCAUAUUAAACUGUAUCAAAAAAAAAAAGAGAAAUUCCACCCGGCAUGAUAUGAAAACAACAUAUUUAAAAAACUCUUAUUAUUGCACAUUAAAUUUUUUCCCAAAAAUAAUUUAAAAAAUGCCUACAAAUGUCCUACAUCAUGCAACAAAGCACAAACCACAUAUAUAUGUAUGUGUGUAUGGAAAAAGCUAAAAAAUUAAAGGUCAGUAAUAUAAAAAAGAAUAGUCGAAGCAACUCAUGACAGGAUCCAAACAGAACAAACAGCUACGAACAAAUACAAAAAAGGUAUAGUGAUGCAAAUUUGGUAUAAAUUUAUCUUUAAUAUCUGCAUUAUCCCUUUAAUCAAUUCAAAUGUCCAUUUGUAUUGUAAGUAAGAAAAUCACAUAAAAGCAAGAUACCAAGUGUCGGACAAAAUCUAUGUUAAGGCUAGAAGAACCACCUAUUGAUAACACCUUCGAGGGCUGCUGGAAUAAGAAUAUCACAGUCUUCAAGCAAAAUAGAAUUGGGAUCAACACUGUCAGCACCCCUCCAUGGUUUUCCCUGACAUGCUUCCAUAGGUUUGGUACGUCAAUUCCCUUACCGUGCUGCUUUAUGGCUCCUGUUAUAUCACUUGCGCGAAUUACCUUUUCCCCUUGUUCACUGAUAAGUUGAGCAGCCCAGGAUCCGACAUUACCAAAUCCCUGAAAUCAAGAAGAAAAUUCUAUGAUCAUAUGACAUUCGAUAAUUUUUGACUUUUUAACUCGCUCUCUCUUCUCACGAGUCAUGAGACAUUUUGUGAUGUAACUUCUAAGUCCUCAAGGAAGGCUCUUUGAAUGAGCUUGUAGUUUCAACAAAAUGCAUCCCACAGUAUUUGAGCAUAUCAGAAACUAAAGGUACACUUGAAACUACAAAUGCAUCCCACAGUAUUCGAACAUAUUAUAAACUGAAGGUACACUUCCCAGUGGUGCUACUUGUACAACAAAUCAUUGCCUAGCGAUACUCUUUCCAUAUUCAUUAAGCAGCGCUUUAGUUGCAAAGAGUACUCCCCUCCCUGUUGGUGCAUCUCUGCCGAGGGAUCCACCAAGAUCAUGUCACCCAAGAAUUUGAAUAUCUUGCGAUAAAUAAAAGUUGAAAUUUUUUGAGGUUCAAAAUCUUAGAAAUCAAAGAAGCACAUUGAUCCUUAUACAUUUGGAAUUGGAUAAUUUACUACAGGUUUUCCAGUUACUAUUGCAGGUGAAUAGCCAUGAAAUUUAUAGUACUCAUCCAAGCCAUUGUCCGCUCAAAUGCGAGACAUUUCCAAUCCAGUUAAUUGGAUGAGCUUCAUAGACAAUGUUGUGUUUAUCACUAUAUUUUUCUCCAAAAACAAAAAUGUCACCUAGAUAUGUACUCCAAUCAUAUCAUACUGUUGAAAACCAGUUUUGCACUGACCUGUGCAUUUGUUCCCAUAUCAGGCGCAGGAACAUCAGUGUGAACUCUAAUCAAAUUAUUCUUAGUGCUGCUAGUGUAACUCAAAAUUUUGGUCAAUGACUAACUUGGCAUGGAAGUUCUAGAUUCCCAGAGGAGAAAUGUAUUAAUUCAUCAAGUGCUGAAAACCAAUGAAGAAAAGGGAACUGGAAGAACUAAAGCAAAUAGAAAGACAUUUUAAAGAUGAAAAAAUCUAUUUUAAACAACUGAUCUUUUUAGUUAGCAUAUGGAUUGCUUUUUCUGAGCAGGAGAUCAACAAAACACCUGCAUGAAAGACACCAAAAAAAUGACUAAAACGAAAACUCGAAAAGAGAAAAUGCCAAAGAAAAUGGCUAAAAAGAAAAGCAUAACAUAAUAAAGAUAACAUAAUAAUAAUUAAUACAGCUAGAGCAUAGCAUAAGCAAUUAUUACAAUAAAUAAAAAAUAAUAAUUAAUAAUUGUGAUUUAUUUGGCAACCAAAAAAAGCAUUGAUAAUUGUGAAUAAUUGGGAUACCAAUUUUUUGUUAACACAAUUUAUUGUUGGGAAAGGGAAAAAAAAGGCUAAAUUUUAGCACAAUCCUACAUGCAAUUAGAAAACUACCACCUCCCAUCCAAUCAAAACUCGCCACAUCACCAUCUUCAUAAACAAUUGGGAGGACUACCACCAAUGAACGAAUCAGAGGGCAACAACUCAUCAAAUUAGAAUCAAUUGGAGGACUACCACCAAUCAGCCAAUGAGAGAAUGCCAAGUCAGCAAUUGAGUUCAAUUAGAGACAAUUGCAUUCACACAUAGACUAUGUAUGUUAAUAACUAUUCAAUAUAACAUUUAACCGGUAACAUAUAAUAUUAAUGUGUGGCAAUGGCAACUUGUAGUUCAUGACAUUUAUUAUCAUACAUAAGGAGUUGCAAGAAUAUAAAUCAUUUCAUAGAUAUUCAUAAUUCAUAAUUUCAUAUACAAUCACAAUCCAAUUAUAUUGAUCUGUUCAAACCCGUUUACUAAUAACCCGUUCAAAUUCACCCAUUAAAAUUUAAACGGGUCUAAGUGAGUACGUAAUUAAAUUCAUUUGAUUGGUGGAUAGUUGAUUGAUUGGACUGACCCAUUUAUACUCAUUUAAAAAUAAAUAUACAUUUAAACUCCAUUUUUACUAAAUGUUAAAAAGAUAAAUUUGAAUUUUCUAUUAAUCUAAUAAUAAUAAUAAAAUAUUAUUUUUUUCUUGUUAAACGACAUGCGAAAAAUUAAAAAAAUAAGUAGAAUUUCAAAUCAAUGAUAAAUGGGAAUAUUAACUAUUCCCGAAAUCAUUUCCUCCCUACGCUUAAUUCAUGCGCGUGUGGCCUCCAGUGUCCAUUUUCCCUUACGGUUCACUACAUUAAUCAUCAGUGUACGUGCACGUGCCUAUUUCUGAGCACGUUCCUAUGGUAGGCACGGUCAAACCGUGCCUGCCAUAGAAUGAUCCCCACACGCAUCCCUCAUCAGUCCCGUCCAUACUUCUUCUUCAGGUCUCAGCUACUAAACAAUAAACUCUGCUCCACUCAACUCUUUCCUCUGUCUUGUGUUUUUGUCGGAAAAUGGCGGCGUCAGAUGAAGUGAAAGUGCCAAGAAUCAAGCUGGGCUCGCAAGGUCUUGAAGUUUCAGCUCAAGGGCUGGGCUGCAUGGGCAUGUCAGGCUCCUACGGGCCGUCAAAGCCCGAGCCUGAUAUGAUCAAACUCAUCCACCAUGCUAUUAGCAGAGGUAUCACCCAUCUUGACACCUCCGAUAUCUAUGGACCUCACACCAACGAAAUACUCAUUGGCAAGGUACCAUAUUUGCAAAUUUUCUGCUGUUGUGCGCUAUGCAUAAACUCUUGUACUUUUAAUUUCUUAAAGAGCAUAUUUGUAAAUAUUUUAUUUAUACUUAACCCCCUGCACUUCAAAACUUGUCUCCCUUUGUGCCCCCUUAAUUUUGCUUGUCAGCACUUAAACUCCAUUUGUUUAAAUUGUAAGUAUUAUUAGUCAAAUAGGACAUUGUUCUUCUUUUCUGCUUCUUCAUUUUUUCAUGUUACUGCUUUUUCAGUUUGUCCUCCUUUAUAAACAUGGAAUGAAUUACUUUGACUUUGAUUUUGGUGCAAUUUUGUAUCAAAUGAUUUUUGCUAUGAAGUUAUUGAUUUAUUAUGAACUAUGCGUUGUAUAUUUACACAAAUUCUGCUAGUUAAACAUUCAUUUGAGCAGGCAACAUGAGUAAUAUAAUUCUCUAUGGGUGCAUUUGGUAAAUUUGAAGUUUGAAAACUGAAAUUUAAUCUAAAGUUUGAAUCCAUAAAGUUAUUAAAUUGUUAAAUACUAAAUCUGAUACGUUUGAGUGCAUGUCACACUAAAUGAUAAGUGAACAACUCUAUCACUUAUUUUUGGAGUAAGUGUUGCUUAAGAAAUUCAGUGUCAUUUAAUUAAUUCAAAUAUUCAAAUUUGAUUUUAAAUGCUUCUGAACAUAUUAAGAUCUGAAUUCAUUAACUUUAAGUGCUAAAUUAGUUGUCAAGCAGGGCCUAUAAUUAUUAGGUAACCAAGCAAACGUGUUUAGGGUAUAAUAGUAAUUAACUUUCAAUUCGUCUCGUUGUUCUUUGGUAAGGAAUUCUUUGAUUCAUUUAAUAAUAUUUUUCUCGUACACAGGAAUCAAAAUAAUUGAAGUUUUAUCUCUACCAUUGAGAUAUGUUACCUUCUAAAAGAAAGGAAAGGGAAGCAAACAAGGGCGGAAAAUAGGAAAGGGCAAAGUGAUGAUAAAUAAAAUUGGAAGUAGCAAAAUGAGACAAGUGAAUUAUUACAAGGGGUUAAGUGUAAAUUAUAUUUAUUUUAUUAGACUAUUUAACCAAAAAGACUAGACUCUUUUAAGGCACCAAUCAAAAGUCCCAACUGCUGGAAAUAACAUAAAAACGACUUUGUUUGGUUUGGCGUUUUUGGAGGUGGUUCAUGAAAAUUUUAUUGUAGUUUUUUUUUCUUUCUUGAAAAAAUAUACUUGUAAGAGAAAAAAAAAGUGGUUGAAAAAUAUUGAGAGUUUUUUUUUAUAAAUAGUUUUCUAUAUAGCUCAGUCACCCAAAUUUUUCAAUAUUCCGACAAUGGCAUCCAUGUGGUGUCAAUUGUCAAACGUGCAACAAAGUUGAGAAGAGAAGGAUUUCAAAAUCUUGUAGCUACACGCGUAUAUGUUGAAUAGCUCUAUCCCAUUAGAAGUAGCCACGUGACAUGAAGGAUUUAGAACUUUUCUACCAUCUCUUUAUUUUCUCUUUUUUUUCCCUUCAAAAUUCGACGUCAUAAUGAAAUUGGUAUUUUUGUCCUUGAAGUUAAAACUUUCAUCAAUUAAUGGAAAGUUUACUAUUUCUCUGAUAAGAGAGAGUAAGUUUUAAAGAUUAUGAAAAGAGAAUUGUAUGAAGGAAUAGAAGGGAAAAGAAAGGUAAGAAAAUGGACGGAUUGUGUUUGGAUUGAUUUUGAGAGGGGAAAGGAGAUGAAACGGAAAGAAAAGGAAAUGGAUGGAUUUUGUUUUGCUCAGACAUCAUUUCCAUACAAAAGUAGACGGAAACAGAGGGAAAGAAAAUCUAUUGACAGGUGCCGAACCUGUACAAUAAUAAAUACCUACUCGAGAAAAAUACAGAUUUUGUAUAUAGCGGUGAGUAGGGUCGAAUCCACGGGGACUGGGGAUAAUUCGUUUCUUCUAGAGUCCAAAGUAUGGGGGGUUUUGGAUUGAAUGCUAACUAAAUAAAUUAACUGCAGAAAAUAAUUGAUUAAGAGAAAUAAUUAAGGGAAAACUCUAGCCAAGGGUACACUUCAGACAUGGUUCAGACACUGAUCAUUGAUUCACACAUAAUUCCACAUUUAUUAAUAGACCAGUUAUAGUUGUCAUGCACGCGAUAAACAACCAACCUUUCCUUAAUUUCUCGAUAGUUAAGGUACGACCGUUAACUAUUUCUCUAACCCAAAAACAACCCUAGGUACGACCGUAGGAUUUAAUUUCUAGAUUGCAUUAAUAAUUAGAAAGGCCCAAUCCUAACUAACAAACACGCUACGGGGGUUUGUUUAAGUUAGAUCGUAUGCUCCCCUGACAUAAACCCAAUUACGCCAGUUGCUACUGAGAUAAAGAUAACGAACAAUUACGGAUUCAAUUAUCCCUAUUUAGCAAAAUAGCCUAUGUGAAUAAUUAAAUAUUGCGCAUCUAUUCAAUCACUCACACGAGCUAUAGCAAUUAAAAGCAGGAAACAUAUAAAUAUAAAUAAAUUAAGGAAGCAAUUAAAAUAAAUUAGAUCUCACAGUAAUUGUUGAACCAAAUCUUCAGUUGUCCCCUUGACUUGAAUUAAGAGGUUAGUUCUCCAUUAAUGGAGAACAACCAUGCGAAAGAGCUAAGAAAAGAAAACUCAAAACUCAACUAAAAACCUCAAACUAGUGAUUCAUUCCUCCCCGUUCUCUUGUACGUUUCUCCCUUUUUAAAGCCAAAAGGAAGUCUAAUGCUAUCUCUAGUGGUCCCCACACCAAAUUCAAAGUCUUGUACGUUUCUUUUCCUAGAGUCCAAAUGAUUCAUGCUUCUUAUCCGUGGUCCCCGCACAUGUGGACAAAGCCUUCCAAGUACUUCUUGUUCCAAGUCUCUUUCCGUAGCUUUCUUUGAAGAGCCCAAAUGACUUAUUAGCUUUUCACUAGCUUGUGGUCCCCACCACUCCAAGGGCCCAAGAAUUGAAGUCCUUAGAAGUCUCCCUAUUUUCCAUAAAGUCCUUCCUUUUUGGUAGUUUCCUGCAUCAUUCCUGAAAUUAAGUCCAGAUACCAAAUAUGAGUAAAUAUUAGCAAUUAACACAAUAUUUAUCAGGGAUGAAAGGGGAAAUUAAUAAUAAAAUUACUAACAAAUUAUACCCUAUCAAUUCCCCCCACACCUGAAUCAUGCUUGCCCUCAAGCAUGGGAAAAAUUCAACUCAACAAUGGCUAGCUUUCACAUUAUCAUAGCCAGCUGUGCUUAUACCCAAAAUCAAGAUCUAGUAACAAAGUGUCAAGACAUGUCUCUCCCGGUUAGCUCCUAAGUUCAUAGACUUGUCCAAUUCAUGGCUAAUUCGCUUAGGAAAUCCAAAUACUAACUAGCAACAGUCAAUAACUAAGUCAACUGGCAACCAAAAUCUCAACAAUACGAACCAAGGAUCGGCAGGCUAACAUGAUCAUAAACUCACAUAUUCUCCACAUCUGAUUUUCUCUUCUUUUUUUUUUCUUCUUUUUUGUUUGAUUUCCCUUUUUUUUCUUUUCUUUUUUUUUUUUCCUUUUUCUUCCCUUUUUUUUUUUUGGAUUGCUUAGUCCCGAGCUGUUUAAAUCUUUUGACGUGAACUCUAACAUUUUUAGAUGAAAGAGCCCAGUUACUUAACUUUUCACUGCUCCAGGACCACUUACUCAUAGAUAUCGCCACUUUUUGACGCGAGAGCCGACACUUGUGGUGAAGACUCCCGGUUACUGGGUGGCGACACUAGCGGAGUAUAGCCAUACGUUAUUCACCAAUAAACACCAAAAUAUCAAGUAAUUAAAGAUCAUAGCCUGCGUCAUGUCCUAAAUAUGGAGAACUAAGGUAGACAGGAGACCAAUCCACACAACAAUGCCAGCCAAAUAUUUACAUUGCCUAAACAAGUUAGCCAUAAAUUGCACCAAGUCGUUAAACUCAAAAAAAAAUUCACCAAGACAGCAUGCUCUUACUUGCCAUCGAAACUCAAUUCAUAGUGUAAACUACAACUAGCAAUAAAUAAAUGAGCUGCCAAAAUAUUCACCAAGAUAACAGCAAGGGAAAAAUACCCAAAAGGGAUAAAGGAACAACACCUAAACAGAAAACAAGAGGAAAACAAUAAUAAAAAAAUGAAAAACUGAAAAUAUCCAGCACCCAAACUGACCCCCCCACACCUAAAAUGACGCAUUGACCUCAAUGCGAAAAGAUAAUAGCAGAAAAAGGGAAGGGGCAACGGUACUUCCCUGAAGUCGUCCAGACAAGGGAGGGUUAGGCGGAAACGGCGGAGGGAAACCGGCUUGCUGCAUAAAUGCCGCUAUACUCUGUGCCAUGCCGGCGACAUUAGUGUCAACAGUGACCAUCCGAGCCUUCAAAGCCUACGUUUCUGAAGCCUUUAUUGGGCCACAUAAAACGCGAUUGAAAACGCGCCUUCAACUCGCGUUUUCUAAGUCGCGUUUCCUUCACAAAACUUGCAGGACUUAAAACGCGAUUGAAAACGCGCCUCUAACUCGCGUUUUCUGAGUCGCGUUUCCUGCACAAAACUUGCAGAAAUGAAAACGUGACUGCAAAAAGCGCCUCCCACUCGCGUUUUCUGAGUCGCGUUUCCUGCACAAAACUUGCAGAAAUGGAAACGCGACUGUGCAGGUAAACGCGACUUCAAGUCGCGUUUUUGAAUCUUGACCCCUUCCUGCACUUUAUCACGCGGGCGCGUCAAGAGGAAAUGCCACCUACAUAUUAGCAACAACGAAAACUGAAACCCAAAAUCAGUCGAAUUCAAGGGAAAUAUAUUUAAACUAUCACACGAAAUCAAACAAACAAUUAAAAGAAACAAUUGGGUUGCCUCCCAAGUAGCGCCUUUCUUUAAUGUUUUUGGCUAGACAUGCUAUGCUUGUUCACGGGGGAUAAAAUCUUGUGGCUCGUUUCAAUGCUUCAUCUUCAAUAUGAUCCUGGUAACCCUCAUAGAUGGAGUAAUCUUUGAGCACACGAGUUACGGGCUUCCAUGGACUAGUAAAUGGCGUUAAACAAGUCAACAAUGAUCUGCAUUCUCCACUCACUCCUCCACCACACGCAUUCAUCGGUUCAAGAUAUUUUUUCAUUGCCACUCUUAACUUAUUCCUGUCAUGAAAUUUCAGAUUUUCUGGUAUAAUAAAAUCAAUUUCAGUAACAGGAAUUGAAGAGGAGGAAUUAGGAAAAUAUUGAUUAAGGAGUGGAGAAGAUGUCACCGCAUUUGGAAAUUGUUCACUGGAUUCAUUCACUUGAAUAAUUUGAUGUUGGAGUCUCAUGUCUUCCGCUUCAACUUCCUUUUCAACUGUAUCUUUGGAUCCUCCUUCUUGAGACUCUUGCAGUUCCAUAUCACUUGUCAGGAUAAUUGCACUCUCACCUUUCUUAGAGUCAUUGAUGGUCUGUGAGGGCAAGUCUGACAUGAAUGACGAUUGUUGAGACUCUUGCAGCUGAAAACUCAUUGGCCCCUCUUCAUAAUUAACGUUGGAGUUAUCCCACCAUCCUUGAUCAUACCGGUUUGAAUAAGGGUCAUACCACGUUUGAGAUCGAGGUGAAGAAUCUCCAAAUUUUUUUUUGAGAUAGUCACUCAGGUAGUCUUGAUAUUCGGGGCACAUACCGGUUGAAUGAUCCCUGGCAUAACAAAUUUCACAGGUUGCAGCAGCCAUUCUUUCUCUAACAGAGUUUAGUGCCUCUGCAUAUGCAGACCUCACAAAAAAACUAGCCUCAUUACCUUCCCCGGAAAUAAAAUCCAGUAUAUCACCAAAAUACGGAGUGUAAGAAACCAUAAACUAAAUAAAAAAAAAGAAUGUAAACAAGAUGAAUUGAAAAAGAAACAAAUAACUAGCGCCAGUCCCCGGCAACGGCGCCAAAAAUUGACAGGUGCCGAACCUGUACAAUAAUAAAUACCUACUCGAGAAAAAUACAGAUUUUGUAUAUAGCGGUGAAUAGGGUCGAAUCCACAGGGACUGGGGAUAAUUCGUUUCUUCUAGAGUCCAAAGUAUGGGGGGUUUUGGAUUGAAUGCUAACUAAAUAAAUUAACUGCAGAAAAUAAUUGAUUAAGAGAAAUAAUUAAGGGAAAACUCUAGCCAAGGGUACACUUCAGACAUGGUUCAGGCACUGAUCAUUGAUUCACACAUAAUUCCACAUUUAUUAAUAGACCAGUUAUAGUUGUCAUGCACGCGAUAAACAACCAACCUUUCCUUAAUUUCUCGAUAGUUAAGGUACGACCGUUAACUAUUUCUCUAACCCAAAAACAACCCUAAGUACGACCGUAGGAUUUAAUUUCUAGAUUGCAUUAAUAAUUAGAAAGGCCUAAUCCUAACUAACAAACACGCUACGAGGGUUUGUUUAAGUUAGAUCGUAUGCUCCCCUGACAUAAACUCAAUUACGCCAGUUGCUACUGAGAUAAAGAUAACGAACAAUUACGGAUUCAAUUAUCCCUAUUUAGCAAAAUAGCCUAUGUGAAUAAUUAAAUAUUGCGCAUCUAUUCAAUCACUCACACGAGCUAUAGCAAUUAAAAGCAGGAAACAUAUAAAUAUAAAUAAAUUAAGGAAGCAAUUAAAAUAAAUUAGAUCUCACAGUAAUUGUUGAACCAAAUCUUCAGUUGUCCCCUUGACUUGAAUUAAGAGGUUAGUUCUCCAUUAAUGGAGAACAACCAUGCGAAAGAGCUAAGAAAAGAAAACUCAAAACUCAACUAAAAACCUCAAACUAGUGAUUCAUUCCUCCCCGUUCUCUUGUACGUUUCUCCCUUUUUAAAGCCAAAAGGAAGUCUAAUGCUAUCUCUAGUGGUCCCCACACCAAAUUCAAAGUCUUGUACGUUUCUUUUCCUAGAGUCCAAAUGAUUCAUGCUUCUUAUCCGUGGUCCCCGCACAUGUGGACAAAGCCUUCCAAGUACUUCUUGUUCCAAGUCUCUUUCCGUAGCUUUCUUUGAAGAGCCCAAAUGACUUAUUAGCUUUUCACUAGCUUGUGGUCCCCACCACUCCAAGGGCCCAAGAAUUGAAGUCCUUAGAAGUCUCCCUAUUUUCCAUAAAGUCCUUCCUUUUUGGUAGUUUCCUGCUUCAUUCCUGAAAUUAAGUCCAGAUACCAAAUAUGAGUAAAUAUUAGCAAUUAACACAAUAUUUAUCAGGGAUGAAAGGGGAAAUUAAUAAUAAAAUUACUAACAAAUUAUACCCUAUCAAUCUAGUUCAUGAUUUUCUAGUAAAAUGCCUCAAGCACCCAAAAUUUUACGUAAACUUGAGUAAGCAUGUAUUUCAUAUCUGUAGAACUUGCCAUUUGUGAAACCUGCUUUAGAUAUGAAUUGUGGUAUGCAACAGCACGCUAGGAAUGUUUGGCUAAGCAACUUAUGUAAAUAUUUUAUCGUUAAGCAAAGUUCCUCCUUUCAUGUCUGUCAUUCUAUGCAAACCUCCUUUUAUCGUUAAGCAACUUAUGUAAAUAUUUUAUGUAAAUAUUUUGGUUUUCUUACUUUCCCAUCCAUAUCUAAUCCAAAUAUGACAAAUGAGAACUAUUUUCCUCUACUCUCCUUUCCUUUCUUUUUUACUAGGAUGUUUUAUUUAUUUAUUUAUCCUUUCCUUUGAUCCAAAUGGUUCCUAAAAGGGCACUAAUUAAUCUACAUUGAUCAGUUCCCUAUAUUUGUAUUAAUGUGCAUGUACACGAUUCUGUGAAUGACAAUUAGGCUAGAUUGCUUCAAAUCUUGUGAAUGACAGAGCUAGAUUGUAAAUUUAAGUUGAAGAAAUAUAAAACAAAAAGAAAAAGAAAAUGGAUUGGCUCCUUUAAGAGUAUCAGACUUCUAAACCCCAAGGAUUACAUAAUUUUCAUAUCCUUUGCCACACAAAGAAGUGGCAUAGCCUUAACAAUGAAGUGUUGGAAAAACUCCAGAAGGACUGUGCAAUCCAUGAAAUCACAAAAUCCGCUUGCUAUACCAUGCAUUAAUGUGUAUGUCCUUGAUGAUUAACAUAAUGAAAUCAUGGUUCUAGGCCUUGAAGGAAGGAAUAAGAGCGAAAGUGGAGCUAGCAACAAAAUUUGCAAUCAGUUAUCAGGAUGGGAAAUUUGAUGUAUGUGGUGAUCCAGCCUAUGUGAGGGCUUGUUGUGAAGCGAGUUUGAAGCGGCUUGAUGUGGACUGCAUUGAUCUCUAUUAUCAACAUCGCAUCGAUACACGUGUGCCCAUUGAAGUCACGGUUUGCUCCAUUUUGCCUUUCUUGUUUUUUAGCUCCACCUCAUUCUUGAUGAAACAAAAGUUUGAUCAACUCCAAAUUUAGAAUAAUUCAGUUUCAUGUCCGUUUCAAUUCUUCAAAAAUUGCACAGAAAAGUUAGUCAACCUUAUGGUCUAGGCUAAUCUGCAGUAUGGUAUUGCUGAAUUAGCACAAGGCAUCCUGAAAAGUGAAAACAAUGAAAAUGUCUUAUAUUAGCUUGACAGUCCUGCUGAGGGAUAUACAGGUUGAUAUCAUGCUAUACAUUAUACAGCUUUCGUUUAGAACCAAGAGACCUGAGCAUUCUUUUUCAUUUGAGAUAGGCUAUCCAGUUGAGAUAUACUAUUUACUUACCUUGUCAAUCGUUUUCAGUCGGUGCCAAAAGCACUGCAGAUAGACGUUUUUUAGUCAAUAUCUAAAAACAUGGUACUCAUUUUGUUCAGAGUAUAGCUUUUUGUCUAAUUGUGAAAGCCAACUGCAACUGCCUCAUUGACCUCUCCAAGCAAUUCAAAGAUUUCAGCAGCUUGCUUACAUUAAGCUUUUAUGAAACGAUUUCUCUGUCUUCUUUUUCUCAUGUAGUCAGCAAAGAAUUGUCUUGUUUUCCCUGAGUAUUAGGAAGAAACUUUCUUGCAGUUUAAUCACUCAAAAUACAGGCAAGUAUAAAGGAAAUCAAGCAAAAUUGGCAACUGAUAAUUGCUGCGUACAGCCAUUAUUAUAUAUAUAAGUCAACAAUGUCAUGUAAUCAUAUUGGAGGAGCAUUAUGUUGGCAUGGUCCAGUAGAACUAAGUCAUCCGUUGGGCUGUACAUAGAGAACUAUCACUGGAUGCUUAUUGCCAUUUUCAUCAACUAGGGAUUUCAGUUUGACGUAUACUUUGUCCAAGACUUCGUUGAACUAGUGCAACUUUUACUUGUUCCACGUAAUAUUUCGAUUAUCUGCCUAAGUAUUGAAUGUAAUAAAUCAGCUUCGCAUCUUCUUGUCCAUUGAAAUUCUCUAGAUUGGAGAGCUCAAGAAACUGGUUGAAGAGGGUAAAAUAAAGUAUAUAGGUCUGUCUGAGGCCUCAGCUUCAACAAUUCGAAGAGCACAUGCUGUUCAUCCAAUAACAGCUGUACAGUUGGAGUGGUCAUUGUGGACCAGAGAUGUCGAGGAAGAGAUUAUUCCCGCUUGCAGGUAGUGCGUAUAUUCUGCUGCAUUUUCUACAUGGUCUAGAAGAAAUAUGAAGUUCUCAAUUCAGUUUUUGGUAUAAUCUUUCAGAGAUCUUGGCAUAGGGAUUGUUGCAUAUAGUCCACUUGGACGAGGUUUCUUCUCAUCAGGUCCAAAGCUGAUCGAGAAUUUGGCUGAAGGUGACUUCCGAAAGGUUUGUGCAUAGCCAAAAAGAUUGUUUAUAGUUCGAAUAAGUUUCUCACUCAGUGGCAAUCUUGCUUGAUCACAUUUAAUCAAAUUUCUAUUAAGCAUAGCAAUUCAACGGGUUUUUUUUUGUUUUCUUCUUGAACAAGUCUUGAACUCUUUAGUUUGAUUCAAUGAAUGCAGAUUUUGGUGUCCUCGGUACUUAGUUCAAAUUAAAAGAUAUAGCACUAGCUUUGUCAAAUUUUAGAUCUUAUAUGAAUUGAAGGUUGUUAUUGCAUGCUGGAAAUUUAUAUAGAGGACAACAAUCGCAAGCAAUGGAUGGUAUUGAAUUUUAAAGUGCAAAGACGUCCUAAGAUGUCAAAACAGGAAGAAACUAUGCCAGUUUUUAAGUAAAAGUCUCUUUACUGUUUUGAGGGGAAAUGGGCCUUAGACUUCAAUUUCAUCAUUUAGUCUCAGGCACAGAACUUAUGUUGUCUUGUGAAACUAUCAUUUUUCUUUUACCAUUAAUCCUAAAACUGAGUUUCAUUGGUCAGAACUCAGAAGUAUACUUCAUAGUUGAUUUGUAUUUUAAGUUUCCUCUUUGAUGGGAAAUAUAUCUCAGAACUUAACUCCAACAGUUGAUGAUUCCUACUUGGGAGUAUUCAGUCCACCUUGAUGCAUUGUUCUUUCCCCUGAACUUGUGCCCUUCAAACAAUAUUUCUGAUCAUCUUGAAGUAAUUAGUACCGUCUGUUCAUUACUCCCUUCUGAUUUCUUGCAUUAUAGUUUCCUCUUUAAUGGGAAAUGUAUCGCAGGAUCUACCUUCUACAAUUGAUGUUUCUUUCCCCUGAAGUUAUUCGUAACGUCUUCUGGCAUUAUAGUUGCUUAAAUUUUGAAAUUCAUACAAUGCAGUAUAUGCCAAGGUUUCAAGCAGAGAAUUUGGAGCACAACAAGAACUUGUACGAGCAGGUCAAUGCCAUUGCUUCAAGGAAGGGUUGUACUCCAUCACAGCUAGCACUGGCCUGGGUCCAUCACCAAGGCAAUGAUGUUUGCCCCAUACCGGGCACUACCAAGAUUGAGAACCUCAAUCAGAAUAUAGGAGCUUUGUCUGUAAAACUGUCUGCAGAGGAAAUGGCGGAACUUGAAUCCAUCGCUUCUGCAGGAGUCAAGGGUGAUAGGUAUGGGCCUGGCCUUGUUACUUGGCAAACUUCUGAAACUCCACCUUUGUCAACCUGGAAGAGGACAUGAAG
rnacentral:lncRNA from 1 species